rnacentral:lncRNA from 1 species
UAGACCAUCUUAUGUUGGUCACCCGAUCAUUGAUUUUUAAGAAUUUUACUGGGUUGGAAAAACCCCGGAGAUUAGGGGCCAUUGUCUCACCACACCUAGCACAGCCCCUAAAGUAGAGCCAGAAAACACUGAGCUGCCCAAUGACACAGUUUCACUUCUAGGUACAGACCCAGGAGAAUUGAAAGCAAGAUUCAAAAACCCCAUACAGGACCGUCCAGUGCAGCAUUAUUCACGAUCACGAAACAGUGUCGAUGACCCAAAUGUGCAUCACAGGACGAAUGGACAAGUGAUAAUAUCCCAUGCAAUGGCAUGGUACUUGGCCUUGGAGAAGAAGGAUGUGUGACACACGUCAUGGGUAGACCUCGGGACUGUCACACAGAAGACCCUCCAGUGCACACUUACAUUCACAUGGAUUCCCAGAGUGGGCCAACCUCCAAAAACAAGGCAGAUGGUAGGUGACCGGGGCUGGGGACGGGGUCUUGAUGAUGACCACCCACAGGUACAGGUUUGGAGAUGAUAAAAAUGCUCUGAAACGGAUUGUGGUGAUAGUUGCCCGACUCUGUGACUGUCCUAGAAACCGUCGACUUACGUGUUUUUAAAGGGUGAAUGGCAGCGUGGGUGAAUUAUAUCUCAGUUAAAAAGCAAAACACAGCUGGAAUUGCUGCUCCGGGUUCCCAGGUCAGUGACAGUCACCUUCUCUAAGGGUAUCACCACCAGGGGGCUGUGCUGAGCAGCUGCCUGGGUGACGGAGGUCCCGACCACGGCUGCAGUAUCUGCGGGGCACAUGGCUGGUGAGUUUCUGGGGCUCUUGCUGGGGACAGGAGGUCCCUUCUUAGAGCUGCUCUGGUGUUCUGAGGCCUGCACACAACCAGGCUGUAACUAUGCAUUUGACGUUCUGAGCGCCCGCCCUGCGCGAGCCGGGAGCCGCGGAAGGCUCAGCCCUGACCUGACAUUGGCUUCUAACAGGAUCCUUCUGGUGGUGAGUGGAGACUAUGGGGACAGAGGGACUGGGAGUGAGAAGCACCAGUGGCAGGUACUAGUGGAGGAGGUGGGGAGGGGUCGGACUGGGAGCAUUUGCUGAUGGCUGGUGCCGUGGAACACUCCUGUCAUCCCAGCGGCUCGGGAGGCUGAGGCAGGAGGAUCAUGGGUUCAGAGCCAGCCUCAGCAACUGCGAGGUGCUCAGCAGCUCAGUGAGGCCCUGUGUCUCUAAAUAAAAUCAAAAUAGGGCUGGGGAGGUGACUCAGUGUUGAGUGCCCCUGAGUUUAAUCCCUGGUAACCCCCCCAAGAAAAAGAUUUACUGAGGGCAUGAAGAGGGUGGAGAAGGGGGUUCCCGGAGGAUUCCAGGGUGGUGGCCGGUGUGAGGGGAGGCAGGAGGGUGGCGCUUGCUGAGGAACAGUGUGCAGGGACACAGGGCUGGAGGGCAAAGGCCCUGUUGGACAGCCCAGUGUGGUGUUGAGGGGCAGCUGGACAUCCCAGCCCGGAGUCCAGGGGAAGGCCCAGCGGUGGCUGUGGAGUCCCCAGAGUCUAGAGGGUGCACUCCCCAGGGAGUGGGUGUGGGUAGAGCCAACAAGGGGACAGGACUGGGGACCCCUGGGUGCCUCGCACCUGGCAUCUGGGGACAGGAGCAGGAAGGGCCGGGCAGGGAGCCGAGGCCUGGCCCAGGAGGCCCCCGGCAGCUCGGAGUGUCCUGGGAGUUGAGGAGGAAGGUUGUUUCAGGAGGGAGGAGGUCACCAACUCCACUCGGAGGCAAGGACACCUGUGUCCCUGCAAAGUCGCCUGUGGACACUGUCAGCAGCAUGCUCACGGCUGCCAAAAAGUGGACACAACCCAAAUGUCCACUCCCAGAUGAAUGGACGAGCAGAACGAGGACCAAGACUCUCACGGGGCGUUCUUCAGCCAGGGACGGGGCUCUGACUCACUGUGACGUGGGGAACCUCAGUGACGUCUUGCUGCGUGAAAGGGGCCACACCCCAGGUGCCACGGGCUGUCUGGUUCCACCUGUGAAUCACCCAGCCUUCGCACCUGCGUUGACACGGACAGCUGACCGGAGGUCCCAGGGCCUGCGGGGGACUGGGAGCCGCUGCCUGGCAGAGGCAGAAUUUUAUUGUGGGAAAAUGGAAGGGCCCUGGAGGUGGGUGGUGGGGCUGGUCGCUCAACCAGGUGCAUGUCCUGAUGUCACUCAGCUGUGCACUUGAAAGUGGCUAAAAGGCAGGUUUUGUGUUAUAUAUGAUUUUUUUUAGAGAGAAUUUUUUAAUAUAUAUAUAUAUAUAUUUUUAGUUUUCGGCGGACACAACAUCUUUGUAUGUGGUGCUGAGGAUUGAACCCAGGCCGAACGCAUGCCAGGCGAGCGCGCUACCGCUUGAGCCACAUCCCCAGCCCAAUGUUAUAUAUGAUUUACCACAAUUGUCUAGAAGGGAGAGAAUGACCUUAUCUUGCUGGCCACAGUUAUUGGCUCAGAAAGGGUUAUGUGACCCAAGCUGACCCAAUGCGAAUCCUGCUUGGGACUUUGGCUGGGAAUAUUGACAGGGCUCUCUCUCUCCUGAAGUUGUUGGGCUGGUGGAGUAGAGGCCUGCAGGUGGUGGAAUCAUCCUUUCCCACUUCUUUGGAAGAGCCUGCUUAAGUGAAGCUUGUGCAGAACAAGGAACACCUGGAGAUAUGCACGUCCUGACAAAAGCACUGGAGUCCCUGGAUCAAACUGUGCCUGAAGCCAUCACAUUUUUAGACUUAAACCAAUAAAUUCUUUUUUGCUGCUUUAAACAUUUGGGUUGGGUUUUCUGUCACUUGCAAUGACGAGAGUCCUGGCUAAUACGUCUAUAAAGCGUAAUAUUUCUAUAGUAAGGAGAUAUAGUUCAUGUACCACCAAGAGCUCAAUGUUCUGAUCUCUAAGUACGUAGGCAUCCAGGUGGCAGUCAAGUGUCCAAUCAGAGAAGCAGCGACCCCUCCAGGCUUGCAACCCCCCAGCAGGUCUGUUCUGCCACCUGGGUUGUCAGGGCUAUAGAAGCACAAACCUGACAACUCAUCAGGCCUCCUGGUGACGAGCCUUGGCGGGAAGAUGCCGCCCCUGUGGGGGGAGGAGCAAAGAGCGGCCACCUGUUGGAGCCAGCGCCUCCGCUGACCCCAGGAGCCAGGCCCGGAGGGUCUGCAGAUAGGAGGGGACCUGCCCUGCGGCCCCGAGGUCUGGAUCUCCUUCCCCCUCCCUUUCCCUGCUGCCUCCUGUAGUGACACUCAUAGGCCCAGUCACCAGGAACCAGAGAGGUGACCAAGUACCAUCCUCCCCGUGGGCCGUGUUGGUUGAAUUUGAAGAAAAGCCAGAGGCUGGUUUCUGCUCUCUGUCCUGCCGAUGAGGAAUCAGGGCCGGGCAGGCCAAGGCUGGACUCUCGGGGUGAUUUACCCCCAGGAGGCACUUGGCCAUGCGGUCACACCAGCUGUCACCCCACGGGGAAAGGGCAGCUGCCAGCACAGCGCCCUCGGCCGACUCAUCUGGCUCUAAAUGUCAACAGUGACCAGUCACUUUAGGGACCUGCCCCGAACCCCAGAAUCCGAAGGUCUGUCUGGGGGCCUUGCCUACCCAGGCCCCCAGGCUGCUCCCGCCAAGGCCUGGUCCCCAGCAGGGGACCCGAGCACCUCGGGGGAGCAGGGGAGCAGCUUGCUUCCUUCCCCCAGUGCCUUCCUGCCCUGGCCCAGCUCAGCACGGCUUUCAAUUCCCCACAGGCUUCUGGGAAGGUCUCUUCCUAUUUAUAGAGUUCGCUGGGCCCCUCCCAGCGCUCAGCCGGCCUGUGGCCCUCUGCAGGGAGCCGUUAAGGUGAACCUGAUCCUUGCGGAGGAGAGGAGGCUCCCUCCUGCAGCCUGGGAGGGUCAGGCUAGGAGCCCCGGGCUGGGGGUCUCGAGGCUGCAGUGAGCCCCCUUGCCAGGGGCUUCCAACGCUGAGAGCCUUCAGGAGACAGAGAAGCACAACGGACAGUAAGGGCCGAACCCCAGCAGCUCAGCUGAGGAUGCUCAGGGCGGCCAAGGGAGGAGCCAAGGGAGCAGCGGGGUUAGAUGUGCACAGGGAGCUGGGAGCGUGAGGGGAGUGGGUCCUGGGGUGUAGGACGGGUGGGGUGCAGGGAGGAAGCACUGUAUCCCCCGGGGCCGUUCACGUUUGGGAAGCCGGGCUCAACACCCGGCAAAUCCCCAGGACAGGGUGCUCACAGGCUCCUAGGAGGGUGGCCUGGGGGAACUCUGGCUGGGACCAUGGGGCAGAGGUGCCCCAGCAGACCGUGGAGCAGGGGAGCAAAAACCCCCACCCCAGCAGGUCUCUUCUGCCACGGGCCCAGAGGACGCUGCACUUGUCAAACCCAGAAGAGAUACCUGGGGGACAGUGCCAGGGGCGGCUGGUGAUGGGAGAUGCUGCUUCAGACCGUGUGGUGGCUGAGAGCCAAUCGAUUUCCUUCCCUGGUAUCAGCAGGUGCCGCCCAGAGGGCGUCUGGGAAUCCUUAGCAAAGAGAGUCAGCCGAUGGGGACUUCUUCAUAGCGCUGCCUUUCCCUGGUGUCUGGGGUUUUUGCUGUACAAGUAGCAGCACUCUGUACACGAGCUCCUUCUGACCCCCACCCAAGUUCAUAGCAUAGAUAGACCUUUAGAAAAACUCCCAGACCUGCCCUCACACUCCAGAGCAGGGCUGUGCCGGCUUGGCUCUCAGAUCCCUUCUGAGGGCUGUUCCGUGUACCUCCAGCUUGGAGUCAUCAUGAGCAAAGUGCUCACCCUGCGCUCCUGUGCGGAUUUCCCGGGGGGCAGACAGGGAGGGAAAUUGCUCAGCCGCAGCCAACAGUGUAACAUCAAACUUCAAAAGGUGUGCUUCACUCAGGUGGGGGACCUGUGGCUUGGGAGGCUGAGGCAGGAGGAUUGCAAGUUAAAGGCCAGCCUCAGCAACUUAGCCCUAAGUAACUUAGUGAGACCGUAUCUCAAAAUAAAAAAUAAAAACUGGCUGGGUAUGUGGCUCGGUGCUAAAGCACCCCUGGGAUCAAUCCCUGGUACCUUAGAAUAAUUCCAGGGCUCCCUGGGUUCAACCCCUGGUACCUUAGAAUAAUAGCAGGGGUUCUUCACGUAUUUGGAGCACUAGUCUUUUGUUUAUCUAAUCACUUAGUCUUCAAUGUGCUUUCUGGGUUCUCUUCUUGUCCAGGGGAUAUGAGUUUAGAAAGCUGUUUUGGGUACUCCAAAACUGAGCCUCAUCUCCAGGUCUACUUGAAAGACUCCUUUUUAAAAUAUAUAUAUAUUAGUUGUUGAUGGACCCUUAUUUAUUUCUUUAUUUUUAUGUGGUGCUGAUGACUGAAUCCAGUGCCCUACACGUGUGAGGCAAGUGCUCUGCUACUGAGCCCCAGCCCCAUCCCUUUGUAAGACUCUUGACAAUUCCUGGUGCACGGCAUUGGACAAACAGUGGCCAUGACAGCAGGUACUGAGUGCUCCUCUGUGCAAACCAGGGCUAGGGCCAGGGUGAGGCCAGCCAGGCAAAAUUCAAGAGGACACCAAAAACCUCCAGGGUACAUGAUCUUUAUACCACAGUAGCUGUAAGGAUCAAAAUUAAUGCAAAAACAUCUAUAAUAAAUAAAAUACCAACUCUAUGUGGAGUUCUGGGGAUGGAGCCCAGGGGGACGCUACCAAAGAACUAUGUCUCCAGCCCUUCUUGGUUUUUAUUCUGAGACAGGGUCUCUCUAUGUUGCUGAGGCUGGCCUCAAACCCGCAAUGCUCCUGCCUCAGCCUCCUGAACCGUGCCUGGCCCAUCAUUUUGAGUGGACUUUAAAGUGCCUUCCGUGUUGACUUGCCUGAUUCUCACUAGAACUCCAAGGGGGGAGCCCUGAGACAGAUACUAACUGGUCCAGGAUCAGGCAGCUGCUCCGUCACAGAGCUGGGGUCUGAGCCAGGUCAGCUACCUGCAGAGUCUACGCUGUUUGCCAGGAGACUGUGGGAAAGCCACCUGCCCUCCCUGGCUUCAGCUGUCUCACGUGCCACUCCUCAAGGCCUGCGACACCCCACCUGCCUCACAUGCACCUGUGGGCCUAACUGAGAUACUACUGCACGCCUAGAGGCGACCUCUGAACUCUGCAGCGCUGUGGGGGGGGGGGCAGGUGCACCUGAUCAAGAGCACGGGGCCUGGAGGCGGCCUGCCUGUGUCCACAGCCCCGCUCUCGCAUCCAUCACAGAGUAACUGGCCACUGACGGCCUCUCUGUGCCUCAGUUUCCUCCCCUGUAAGAGGGGGAGGGGGAGGGUCACAGCUCCGUCCAGCCUGUGCUCGUGGGGGCUCUGAGCUCUGAAGCUCAUUAGCUCCUCGUGGUCGUGAGCCGGGUUGAGCCUGGGAAGCCGGCUGGAGGGGCCUAGUGCCUGUGACUGCCAUGUCCUGGCCCAAGGCCCCGGGGUCCCUUUGAGAUCGGUUGGGCCUGGGCCUAGUUUCUGGGGGCUCCCCUGGAAGGUUCCACAGUGAGGCCCUGGAGACGAGGCUUCGGGUCACACGGAUCCAGUCUGGCAGGUGAUCCGAGGCCAGGGUCAGCUCGGCCGAGCACACCAGGCGGCUGGCCCCCGGGGGCUCGUGGAAGUCCCCGCACAUUCAGCUCCUCCUCGUUAUUUCGAGGCACCGGAAAUCAAACCAAGGCCCCAGGAGGGUCGGGGUGCUCAGCUGACCUGCACCCCAGCCCCCAUCCCAUGGGGUGAUAAUGGGCUUUAUUUAUUUUGAUUUUUUAUUUGUUAUGGGCCUUUAUUUUAUUUACUGACACGUGGUGCUGCGGAUCGAACCCGGUGCCCCGCACAUGCCAGGCAAGCGCUCCGCCCCUGAGCCCCCGCCCAGCCUGUGACUUUAGGAGCAGUUUUAGGUUUGCAGCGAAAAUGAGCCUUGAGCACAGGGGGUUCCCACGCCCGCCCCCCCACCCACGCUGCUGCUGUGGUCUUGACAGGCGUGUCCCAGGGCCGCUCUGAUGCGGCUCAGAGUCACAUGGCUGCCCUAGAGACCCUCCCUGCCCCACCUCUGGCAAUGGCGGGUCCUUUUACAGUCACCAUUGACCCCCCAGCACAUGGCGGCUGGAUACGUGAACUUGGUCCCCCUGGACACGUGAAUGAGGUCCCCGUGGCUCCGCGUCCUGCCGGCACUUGCUGGUGUCACCUUCCAGGCUCAGAUUGGAGCCUGCUGUGGUCCCAUCUUCUUCACUUACCUGCCCACUUAUUCACUGAAGCAUUUAUUUAGCACCUGCUGGACACAAAGAUGAACAAGACACCAUUCCCACCCAGGCUCUACUAUAUCCAGGUGGUUUAUGGCAGCGGUGGUGAUGGCGGUGGUGGUGAUGGCAGUGGUGGUGGCGGUGAUGGUGGUGAUGGUGGUGGUGGUGGUGAUGGUGAUGGUGAUGGUGAUGGUGGUGGUGAUGGUGAUGGUGGUGAUGGUGAUGGUGGUGGUGAUGGUGAUGGUGAUGGUGGUGGUGGUGAUGGUGAUGGUGGUGGUGAUGGUGAUGGUGAUGGUGAUGGUGGUGGUGAGGCUGGUGAUGGUGAUGGUGAUGGUGGUGGUGGUGAUGGUGAUGGUGAUGGUGAUGGUGGUGGUGGUGGUGGUGAUGGUGAUGGUGAUGGUGGUGAUGGUGAUGGUGAUGGUGAUGGUGGUGAUGUGAGGCUCUCUCUUGCUGGGCUUGGAGGGGGGAACCCUUGCACAUGCUUGACUGGUUGACACUGAGCGACACCCCCAGUCCCUAUGCUGGUCUUUACGGGUAUGAUUAUUUGACGCACUAUAUGCACCAAAUAUCUCUAAGGGCAGUAUUGCUAUAAUUAGCCCCAUUUUAUAGAUGAGGUAACCAAAUCAGAGAGAUUGAGUAAUUUGCCUGAGGUCACACAGCUGUCUAUAAGAACCUGGGAGUCCAACACAGGUCAUCUGACUGACUUUAUGCUAUGGCCAUGGGCAUUCCUUGGGUUUGUUUUGUUUUGGUUUUGUUUUUUUGGGGCUGGGGAUUGAACCCAGAGCCUCACGAAUCCUUGUCCAUGUUUAAAGUCCAAGAUAGCUGGCUUUCGCUCAUGUGGUCCCAGCAUGAAUGUGUUUGGGUGAUAAAUAUGUGAUCAUUCUGUCUCCUCACCAAGUCUCUGUGCAGGGCAAAAUAUCACAGCAGGGUUCAGAAAACCCUGGAAUCUGAAAUUUCUUCACAAAAACUCCGAAAAGCUAAGUCUUCUAACUAAUUAACCGGGUGUGCUGGGGAUGGCACCCAGGGCUGGUGCAUGCUAGGAGGUGUCCUACCGCUGGGUCACAUCCUCAGAUCCUCAAUCAACUAUUUAAAAAAUCUUCUUAGUUGUAGAUGGACACAAUACCUUUAUUUUUUAAAAAAUAUUUUUUCAUUGUAGUCGGACACAAACCUUUGUUUUAUUUAUUUAUUUUCAUGUGGAGCUGAGGAUGGAACCCAGCGCCUCCCACGUGCCAGGUGAGUGCUCUGCCGGAGCCACAGCCCCUGUCCCUCAGUGAACUGUUGAAAGUCCUGCACAUUGAACCUGCCUCUGAGGAACUCUCAAUAUUGUGAAAACAGCAGAGGCUCUCAAAAGCCAGACAGCUGAAAACACAAACAAGAUAAAACUAUUCAGCACGGUCAAAUUCAGCAUGUCCCCCGAUUAUUUGUUCAGAUAAAUCAUUUUUCAUGUGGCAAGUGAUGACCCUCGCCCUGGGGGGGAAAGAGUUCAGAAAGCACGAAUUCAAGGCUAGCAGAAGGAAAUAAAUAUCAGGGCAGAGAUUAAUAAAACAGAGAAUAGAAAAUAGAGGGAAUCCAUGAAGCCAAAGACGUCUUCCUCCAACAGUUUAACAGAGUCAACAACCCUUCCGCGGACGCCCAGGAACAAGACGGAAGCUCAGUUCUCACACUCAGGAAUGAGAAGGAGACACCGCUACCGACCCCACAGGAAAGAAGCCCCUGAGUGUGUCGUGAGGCCUGUCUCAGAAUAGAAAGUAAAAGGAGGGCGGCGGGGUGGGCUGGGGCCGGGGCUCAGGGUACAGCGCUCACCUAGCACGUGCGAGGCCCUGGGUCCCACACUAGUGCGGCCAAAUGAACAAACAAAAAGGGUUCAAAAGACUAAUGAAGGGAUAGGAGACGAUGUUGCAAGUCAUAUGUAUAACAAGAGACCUACAUCCAGAAUACAUCAAGAAAACCUAUAACUCAAGAAUAAGGGGCUGGGGUUGGGCCUCAGCGGUAGAGGGCCUCACCUACCAUGUGUGAGGCCCUAAGAUAAAUAGGUAAAAUAAAGGUUUGGUGUCCAUCUACAACUAAAUAUAUGUAUAUUCAAAAAAAAAAAAGACAAACCAGUUGUAGAAUGAGGACAUAUUUGAAUUGAUGUUUCUUUAAGGAAGAGAAUGCCAAGAGGCACCUUAAAAGAUGAUCGACAUCAUUUGUCACUGGGGAAAUGCAAAUCGAGGCCACAGUGAGAUGCCUCCUCACAUCCACCAGGGUGGCUAAAAUAAAAGGCAGAUGAUAUAAGUGUGGGCAAGGUAAGGAGAAGCCAGACACUGCUGGAGGGAAAGUCCCAUGCCCAGAGUCUGGGCAACCCUCAAGGCAGGGAGCAGGGGUCACCAACCAGGCAGCCCAUUCCUGAAGCCCACGGCUCCACAGAAACUCGCCCACGGAGGUCCCUAGCCACAUGACUCCUAAUAGCGCCAAAUUGGAAACGACCCAGAUGCCAUCGAUCACUGGCUAAGCAGAGUGUCUAUCAGUGAAAUGGAACGCUCUCAGGCGUCAGAGGUCUGAAGCUGACGCGCACAUGCUGCCCGCGGAGGGACCCUGGAGAGGGCCCGGUAACGGGGGAGGGAAGCCCAGGCACACACGGAGCAGCCUGCAGGCCUCCCGUCCGUGACAGGAAGGGGAUCAGCAGUUGCCCAGAGCAGAGGGCAGGGGUGGCACAGGGACAGGAGUGACUGCUCAGGGGGACGAGGUUUCCUUUGGUGGUGAUGAAAGUGUUCUAAAAUUAGAUGGUGGUGACAGUUGCCCAACUCUGUGAGAAACCAUUGAAUGGGCCACUUUACACUUCAGUGAGUUGUAUAGGGUGUGAAUCGUACCUCAAUAAAUCUGUUGGAAUAUGACAAUAAAUUAGGAAAGCAGGUGAAAAGACCAGAGAAAACAGGAGGGAGUAAUUGGGAUAGAAACCACCUGUCAGUUGAACUUCAGGGCAAAUUUACGAAAAGGAAUGUGUGUGUGUGUGUGUGUGUGUGUGUUUAGCCCUUUUUUAGGUUUUAUAGAGAGGCAGGGUCUUGCUGAGUUGCUUAGAGCCUUGCUGAGCUGCUGAGGCUGCCUUUGAACUUGUGAUCCUCCUGCCUCAGCCUCCUGAGCUGCUAGGAUUACAGGCGUGCGCCACCACACCUGGAAGAAAAAGAAUAUUUUUAAAAGAAAUUGUAGAAAAGGAAUCAUUUCAGAGUUUAGAUUCUUUUUCUUCUUCUUUUUUAGUUGUCAAUGGACGCUUAUUUUAUUUAUUUUUUAUGGGGUGCUGAGAAUCGAACUCAGGGCCUCACCCAUGAUAGGCAAGUGCUCUACCGCUGAGCCACAACCCCAGCCCUCUUUUUUUUUAAUUAUAGAAAAAAAAUUAAAUAUACACCAAUGUAAAGGGACACCUAAAACAAACCCCGGUGUCUCCACUCAGCCAGACGACAACUGACUCGCGGCCCAUCUGGCUUUGGGCUCCCGCCCACUCUCCUGCAUGGAAUUUUUGAAGCCAAUCUCAGAACCACAGAGCUUCCUGCCUGAGAUUUUUGCCAUGGUCCACAUCUGGGUCUUUCUUGUGAAGACCUGAGUUGACUUUCUUUUGCACUAGAAGCGGGGGAAAGGCGAGUCUCCCCCAGCCAUGGACUGGCCUCCUUUGCUUAGGUGAUACUUUCUGUUUGGUCACAGGUUCCCUUUCUGCCGUGGCCACUGGGAGGCUCAGACCCCUACACUGGCAGCCAGACCCUUACGGGUCCUUGCAGGAGGCAAAUUAGUGAACCAGCUGAACUCCUAACACCAUUUAAUUUUCUCAUUUGUGCAGAGAUGACGAGUGGCCUACCAGUUAUCCAUUCUGCCUUCUUUCCUAGUAACCAAGCCCCGAUUUUAUUCACACGGGUUUUGUGUACAGUUAAAAGAUUGCGUUUCUCAGCUUCUAUUGCAGCUAAGACUAAAUUCUGGCCAACUGAGGUUUGGAGCUGAAACUUUCAAGAGUUUCCUUGAAGAAAGGUAAGAUUACAGGGGUUUCUCCUUUCCUUCUUCUUGCUGCUUGAAAUGUGGCUGCAAUCGCUGGAGUGUCUGCAGUCAUCCUGAAGCAUGAGGUAGCCUUAAAGAUGGAAGCCAUAUUCUAAGGAUAAUGAAACCGGAUGCUAGAAGGAGCCUGAUGUUCGAUUCUGUGGUGCUACUGAACUUCCUCUCUCCAGCUUUCAUUUAUGCAAGAGAAGAAUAAGUCCUAUGGUGUUCAGGCCACUGUGAUUUCUGGUCUUUCUUGCCAGCGACUGAACACAGUACCUGUGAGCUCCACUCCUGCUCUCCCUUCUCAAUUCUCUCGAGCAUUUGACUUCGUCUUGUGUAUCGUUUUUAAACCAUUUAAAACCCAUUAUGGACUCAGAGUUAAAAUAAAUAGUUUAUUAAAGGACAGCGUCACACAACCGAGCACAGGCUUCUUAUUUCAAAGAGCAACAGCCGAGAGCACUUGCCGACCCACAGCCUUGUGAUCUGCACCCUGAAGUCUGGGGGGCGGGACCCGCUGCUCGUUGUCCCAAAGAUGGGCACCACAUGGAAAGUCCAUUUCCAGCCUCUGCGAGUUCUUAAGCUGAACAAAAACGGACCAUAUGUCCCGCCCUAGAGCCCGGGAGGCAGCUCAGUGCCGUGAGAUGAGGGACGAUCGGAUUGCCACCGAGACGGGCCAUCUGACUGGGGUGUGGGAGGCCUGGACAGGUGCCCGGCGGCUGAGCGGCCUCAGGUUGGCAGAGGUCACAGGUCACGAUAGCUGGCGAUCUGGCAGGGACUGCGUUUUGGGGAGCUGUUGGCGAUUUGGUGUUUCCACUUAACGCAUUCGUACCCGAGAGUCAUAGCCGGACCCUGAGGUGGUAUCGAACAUAUGCAUCCCAGUCCUAGGGGGGGUCCUGGAGGCCCCCGCUGGGGGCCUGUCAACCCUCGAGGUGAAGAUCAGAAGAUGCCCGGAAGGUUCCGAGCCGGACAGGCAGGGCGCACAGGAGAUUCAGAUCAGGGCUGCCCAUCAACCACCACGGAAGUGCUCAGUGUUUCAGUAACCUGUGUGGGUACGCCGUUACCAAGUGAAUAUCUGCCCUGGUUUUGCAUAAGUUUAAACAUUUUUUUUCUUUAAGUAAACAGUUUAAAAGUGGAAACAGAUUUAAAUAGGUGUGUGGAAGAUGGAAUCAUAAAACAUUAAUAGUAAUGACUCCCACUCUGGGGGUGGCCUUAUUGCCAAGCACUUUAUAAUUCGUCUACUUAUUUAACCCCUUCGAUGACAGCCCCUCAAGGUAACUGAAACCCAGCUCAAGGUGGCUUGAGCAGAGAAGAGACCUACUAAGCUAUGUAACUAAAAAGUCUGGUGGGAUUCAGGCAUGGCUGAAUCCAGGGGCUCAAAGAGAUCUUCAGAACUCAGUUUCCUUCCUGCCUCUCUCUGCUCUUCCUGUGGCUGAUUUCACUCACGGGUGGGUUUUCUCUCCAUGUGGUGGCUCUGGAGGCUCAAGACUAGCAUCAUCCUUCUGACACUAUCAGCAGCACCAAGGCGGUUUUGUUUCUGACAAUUCCUGGGGAAGUUCAGGGCUCGGUCUCACUCAGUCGUCUUGGGGACACCCGCCCACCCCUGAACGCAAGGCGAAGGGUGAUAUUGGAAGGCUGCUAGACGCUCUGAUUGGCGGGCCUGGGUCACGGGCCCUUCUCUGGAUCUGGAUGGGUUCACACUUCCUGAAAUAUGUGGGCAGGGGCGCGAGGGGUCACCGAGGUGCCAGGGAGAGGAGAAUGCUGGGCACACAGAAUACCGGGGGCCGACUCCAAAUGCCCCAUUUCAUUAACAAGGAAGUGGAGCUGCUGCACCUGAUCGUGGGUCCGUGAGAACAGCCCGGAACAGAGCGAGUGACGGAGGCCCGUGGGAGAUGACCAGCCAGGAGCCCAGGCCAGGGAGGGCCCUGAGGGCCAUCGUAAGGACCGAACGUGAUUCGACGUGGAUCGCAAAGAGGAUGGCUCUAGCUUUGCUGUUCAAAUGCCAGACGGUAUGCUGCGUCUAUAACGUCUCACGUCUAUUCCUGUAACGAACAUGAAGUGGACACGGGGUCCAGACCUGGUCAGUCGGCAGUCCAUCUCCUGUCAGGAGUACAUGGGUCCAGUAAGAGCCAGUCCAAGUCCUUCUGCUGAAACUAUUGGGAGAAAUAAGCCCUUUCUACUAAGAUCCCUCCCUGUCAAGACCACCCCUUCCUACGACUGCAAAUGAGGCCAAAGUGAGGAGCCCAGAGUCAAGUGAGGGAAAGGAAGGAAGUCUGACCUGAUGACCUUGCUUGACUCCUAGAUCCAGCCACGCCUGAAGCCACCCCAGCCCUGGAUUUCCCAGUUCAGUGAGUCAGUUCAUCUCACUCUUUGAGUAAGCCACUUUGUGUUGCGCUUCUCAUGAUCACAGUGGAAAGAAUCCUCAGGGAGACAACAGGUACCCUGACAGCGAUUUAGCGCUUGGUUCCAGAAUCACAUGCUGAGAUAGUUCUGGCUGAGUUCUGGCUCCCAGGGUGCUCACGGCUGAGAGAGGGAACAGCUAAGGACUCUCCAUAAACCACAGUGGUUCUGCGUCUGCUUCCCCGCCCCGUCGGGAUCAGAGCAAAGGUGAGCUUCUCCCGUUCUGUCGCUUCCAAGGGCGUCGAGGCCACGAGGAAGGAGCACCUGGGUCAGUGCUCCCUGACCUGCACCACGGCUGGCCGCGGCUGUGAUUCCCAACAAGAAGGAUGUCCCAAACCCAGGCUGGCACAAACCUACCUCCCAGGACAAAUGACCUUCCGAGAGUCACCCAGGACGACCUGUCCCACAGACCGGGCUGGCAGCUAACCAGGGAGCAAACAGGGAAAGUGAGACCCUCAGCUCGGUCCGUCCUCGGAUUCCCGGGGGUGGUUGGCCGGGGAGGGGGCCUUUGGCCACUGGCCGCCGUCUUUCCUGAGGCGGUGGUUUUCACUCUGUCCCCUGAAGGGCCUAGUCCACCGCCAGAGGACUGUGGCUGGCGUCCCUCCUGCCCACCAGAGGCCUGGCGCCCCCUGGGAAGGACUGACAGGUGUGUCUCUGUGUGGAGGAAGAGGGCGGGCCUGGUGACUUGCCCUCCUCCUCGGGUGACAGGGCACGGGUGACUGGGCCACCUGAACCUGCUGCUCCCUGGGUCCCUGGUCCAGCGUCCUCGGCUCUGUGCCACCCGGCAGCCCCUGUGCCCGCUCCUGCAGGAGGCCAAGCGUGCACCCCCCCAGGCCGCCCCUGGCCCCCGCUGUGUCCCCCGCCUGCCGGCCUUUGAGACCUCCUCGCCGUCACCCCGUGACACCUCCUGCACCCCCGUCUGCCAGGCACCCCAAGCACAUCCUGGCCUUCCUCCGAGGGUUCCCGCACAGCCACGAUCAUCGUGGAAGUUAGUCUCUGCUUUGUUUUGUUCUGAGGUGGGGUCUUGCCCAGGAUGGCCUUGGACUCCUAAGCUCAAGACAUCCUCCUGCCUCAGCCUCCCAAGUGGCUGGGACUCCAGGCAUGGGCCUCAGUGCCCGGCUCUUCUUUACUGGCCGUUUCUCUGUCCCGGCGCUGAGCGGAACCCCUUGCAGGGAUGGAUUUUCUGACUCCUCCCACAGGCCCAGGCUCACAGCGGAGGAAGCUGAAGGCAGAGAGGCCGGUUCUUCAGCAAGGGAGGCCGCACUGGACCAGAGCCCAGGGCGUCAGCCCUCUGUGGACACAGCCUGCCGCCUCUUUUCCUCGAAGCCGGUGGCAAAUAAUGUUUUGAACUUUGCCUUCUCGCCCGCCCCUGAAGGAGGCUCAGCCGCCUUUGCAGAGGCUGCCAUGGAAGCCCUGCAGUGAUUUCUCUGCAGCCGUGGACCUGGUCCCUCUAACCAGGGACUUGCAUGUGCGGCAGGGGAGACGGGAGUGGUCCCGCAUGUGCCAGGAGACCUGCAUGAUGUCCCCCACCCCCCACCUGCAAUCUCUGGGUUAAAGCCUGCACUCCCUUAAAAAUCGUCCAUUUUUGUUUUCCAAAGAGGUGAUGGCGAUCCCGUCACCGCGGCUCACAGAACACCUGCGUCCCAGAGCCCACCAAGGCGGUCAGAUCAGAUUCUGACGUUUUCUGCUGAUGAUUUUGAAGCAAAGGUGGGCAGGAGGCCCCUCCUGCCUGCGGGCAGAGCCGUAGCUGAGGGGAGUGACUUCCAGGCCCUGACGCUCACUUCUCUUAGGUCACCUCCUCCUCCAAAGAGCAGCCUUGUCCUCGGGGAUACGAUUGCAUGUCCAGCAAGCUCUGUCCAGCCUCGGGCUCCCCGAGGGACCACAGCUAAGGAACUGGAAGAAACCCCAAAGCCAUGCAGAACAGCCACAUUUGGUUUCUGGAAAAGCAAAGGAUCCAACACUAAGAAGAUGGACGCUGAAGAUCAGGGUCCAGUGGGGCUCUGCCCCCCAUCUUCAGUCUGAAAUCUUCAGACCUCCUUCAUACUUGACAGCAGUGGCUAAACACACAGAUGAUGAAGCCCCUGGCCUGGGUUCAAAUUCUGCUUCCUCUUCUUGUGAGCUGUGUGACCUGAGAUCAACGACUUCACUUCUCUGAACCUUGGUUUUCCCAUUUGGGGUAUAGGAUCCUGAUGGGCUCACUUCCCGGAGUACCAGCGAGGCUGAGCCGCCCCUGAGCUGCCCCUGAUGCUCCCCAGCUGGGACAAUGCCUGGGGCAAAGAGAGCACAUGGCCAACCUUAGCUGUCGUCUCCAUCAUGAUUCAUUUGUGCACUUGGCUAUUGUUUGUCUAGAAUAUCAACUCCAGGAGGGGAAAACUUUAUGUCCCUUGUUCCCAGGGGUAUCCCCUGCCCUGGUGCAAUGCCUGAACACGGUAGGCCUUCCGUGAGUGUCCACAGGAAGAACGAGGGAUGAAGGGGUGAGGAAGUGAGGGGAAGAGGGCAUUCCUGUCUCUCAGCCUGGGUUUGCUCAUUUGUUAAAUUGGAGAUUUUUUUUCUUUUUUCUUUUUUUUUCGUACCACGGAUUGAGCUCGGGGCACUUGACCACUGAGCCACCUCCCCAGCUCUAUUUUGUAUUUUAUUUAGAGUCAGGGUCUCACUGAGUUGCUUAGCGCCUCACUUUUGCUGAGGCUGGCUUUGAACUGUCCAUCCUCCUGCCUCAGCCUCCUGAGCUGCUGGGAUGACAGGCGUGCGCCACUGUACCCCGGUUAAAUUGGAGAUUUUGAUUUCAUUCUUUGGGCUCUUCUGUGUUUUCCAAUGAUCGUAUGAUUGCUUUUUGCAACUGGAAGAAAAAUCAUUUUAAGAAAACAUACAGGCUUUUAUCAAUAAUCACCAAAUUUGGGAGCACCCAAGAUGUCCUUCAGUAAACGAGUCAAUAAAUAAACUGUGGUACAUCAAGAUAAAGUGAUGUCCUCCUGUGGUUUAAAAUAGGCUGUGGGGGGGGGGCUCUCGAGUUAUGGGAAGAAGCGUGACUGUAUUGCUGGGUGGGGGCGUCCCGAAUAGAGAUUUACAAGUGAGGCAAACCUGUGUGAGAGGCAACAUACAGUCCAGCCUGCGGGCGCACACCUGUGAUCUCAGCCACCCAGAGGCUGAGGCAGGAGGAUGGCAAGUUCAAGGCCAGCCUCAGCAACUUAAGGAGGCCUUGCCUCAAAAUAAAAAGUCAAAAGGCAAGAACGUAGCUCAGUGCUGGGGCACUUACCUGGCAUGGGCCAGACCCUAGAUACCAAAAAGAAAAAGAAAAAAGGCUGCAUUCCAUGAUUCCAGCCUGGUGGCAUUCUGGAAAAACCAACCCUAGGGCCGAGUGAAUGAAUCCUUGGUUGCCAGGUUGGUGGGGAGGGAACGCAGGACGAGCAGGUGCAGCGAGACUGUGGUGCAGGAUGCUGUGCUGGUGGGUGCACGUCACUGUCCUCCAAAGGCUACAGAGGGUGUAAAGCAAGGAGAAGCUCAAUGCCAACGGUGGCUUUGGUUGACAAUUAGGUAUCAGGACGGGCUCACCCGUGUAACAACGUACCCACCAAUGCCAGGUGUUGGUGGGGGACAGAGCAACUGUGGAAACCUGAAACUCUGCUAAAAAACAGUCCGUUAGUUCAGUGUGUGUGUGUGUGUGUGUGUGUGUGUGUGUUUGUGUGAUCUAAUGGGACAUCCCCAAUCUCCCACUUUUUAAAUGGUGUGGGGAGGGGCCUAGUUUUAAGUCUCACUAACUGACUUUCAAAACACACGCUCCACACCGGCUGGGUCGUUUGGAUUUAUUCUUUCAACAGUUGUACCUUGAUUUUUAGAGAAUGUGUUCAAGGAGGAAUGCACCCCAUGGCCCACAAUGAUCUCCUCCUAGGACUUGGAAGUUUCUUGGAGAACAAGGGCCAGGUGACAGCGGGGGGCCACUCUGGACCUCUCCCACCACUGGGUGGGCUGGGCCUUAGGGUUCUUCUCUGUGAAAUGGGGUUGAUUCCAGCGGCGACCUCCUUGGACUGUGGUGAGGGUCAUAUGAAACAGCAAAGUGCUUGUGAGAAGCUGGUGCGGCAACCGCCCUGGGAGGAGCCUGUGAUUGGCACGGAACAUGGCGGGAGUGGGGGGUGAGGAAGGCUUUACCAAGGGCCUUGAGAUAAGGUGGGAGGAAGCCUUCGUGGGAAAGUCCCCCAAGCCAGGCCCGGGCGCAGUCUCCCCCCACCACACCAUCUGGGGACUUCAGCGAACUCAGUUGGGAAGUUAAGUGUGGGGUGGCAGCCGGGGUUUUGAGACCCUCUUGUGAGGCCCCACUUUUGGGGGAACUGGUCUAAAAAGUCUGGGGGGAGGAGCUGAGAAAGAAGAGGUCCCAGAAUUAGUGUGUCUCAUGAUCAAACCCCCAGAACUGUGUCUCCAAAGACAUUGUCACCGUGAAACCCCAACCAGGCUGUCACUGAAGACAGAGACCCUCAAUGUCACUUCUUCCAGGUGUUGGAAGGUCCAGGCCCAUGGGUGGGGAACUUCAGGGCACCACUGGCCCCCCCAAGAGUGCUGGUGUACUUCCAGGUGACAGUGACCUUGGAGCAAUAUGGCACCCGGGUGGCUGGCCCUUUUAAUGGGCCAUCUCCUAAUUUUUAAAUCUUGUGAUGGCCAAACCGUCCUGUCUGGCACUGGACCUGACUCCUGGGCAACUCCAGGCUGGGCGAGGUGGUACAUGCUUGGAAUCCCAGAGUCCUGGGAAAGGGUCUUGCUAAAGUGGCUGAGGCUGUCCUCAAACUUGUGGUCCUCCUGUCUCAGCCUCCUGAGUUCCUAGGGUUGUGACUGUGACCUCAUUUUAAAGUGCACACUCCAGGGGCAUUAAGUACAAUGACACAUUUGUGCAACAGUCACCACCAUCUACCCCCAGAAGUCUUCAUCUUGCAAAACCGGAACUCUGUCGUCACCAGAUGGUAAGUCCCGUCCCCCUCCCCUCCGCUGAGUCUCACUGCCCCGGUGCCCUCUAGGUGGAAUCACCUGGCCUUUCCGCUGGCCGCUGGGCUGCUUCACUCCCAUGACGUCCCGGGGUCCCUGGGGUCCGCUGGUCGUGGCAUUUGGCAGGAUGCCUUUUGAGGCGCAGCACCCACUGUGGGUACAGGGCUGCCCGGGUUCGCGGUGUCCUGCGGGUGUGCACCCCGGGGGCUCCCUCCACCUGCUGCUGUGGACACGGACGUCGGGAUCUGUCCCAGCCCCUCCCUCCAGUUCUCUGGGCCCAUACCCAGUGGGGGACUUGCUGGGUCACAUGGUGGCUCUAUUUUUAAUUUUUUGAGGAACUGCCGUGAUCUUUCCACACCCACCGCUCUGCCUCCCUCUCCACCAGCGGUGCCCCGGGCUCCAGUUUCUCCACAUUCCUACCAACACUGUCGAUUCUGGUUUUUUGUUGUUGUGUGUUUUGGUUUUUGGUCCUGGGGAUUGAACCCAGGGGCCUUAACCCCUGAGCGGCAUCCCCAGUUUUUGAAAUUUUUUAUUUUGAGACAGAAUCUCUUGAAGUUGCUUAAGGCCUCACUAAGUGCUGAGGCUGGUCUUGAACUUGCGAUCCUCCUGCCUCAGCCUCCCGAGUUGCUGGGAUCACAGACCUGUGCCUCUGCACGCGGUUCUCGUCUAUUUUUUGUGUGCUCGCCCUCCUGAUGGGUGAGCCAGGGCCAUCCUGAUGUGCACCUGCAGGGUCUUCCUCCAGGGUGGCCGCAGUGUCCCACCAUGGGAGGAUCCUCGGGGGCACUUGGGGGAGCUUGGGGAUGGCUGGACUUGAACUGAGGCUGUCACUGGUUUGUCUUGUCCUUGUCCCGUUGCCAACCUGUUGGGUCGACCUGCCAAGAGCCACGAAAUCCCCAGGUUCCCUUCAUUCCCGUUCACGCUGAAGCCCAAGUGGGCUAAGAUCCUGCCGUUGGUAGCAAGCAGCGCGCAGGGAGGGCCUGUGGGCUCUGGGGUUGGGACCAGGACGGUCCCAGCUGCCUGCUUCACAGAAAGAGACCCAGGAAGGGAACCGGGGUCUGAUGGUGGGGAUUCAGGACCCCAGAGCCCCUGGAGGCUGCCCUACUGCGAGGCCCUUCCCAGCCGGCCUCCUUCCAGGGUCCUGCCUGCCCACUCCCAGCAGGAGAGCUGGCCUGUCCCCGAGGGCUGAGAAGCCCCCCAGGUGGGGCCUGCUCUGGCUCCCUCCUUUCCCACCCCCAGAGCCUGCCUCGGGCCUGGCAGGGAGAAAAGGCUCCCAGCUCUGGGACAGGUGAGUGGGUGGAGUCUGUGGGCCUCACCUGACGGCCCGGGGCAGGGCCCGGCACAGGUGAGCACAACCAGGAACCCCGGGCGCAGAGGAAGUUCCAGGUCGGGAAGGUGGAGGGGGCUGUGGAGGAGAAGGCCUUCCUAAAGGAGAUCUGGGCUUAAGGCGCAGCCCUGCCAACGGCCCGGAGCCCCCUGCUACGGCCACUGCCCGAGACUGAAUCCCUGUUCCUCACAGUGGCCUGCAAGACCCGCAAGGUCUGUCCCUGGCCCCACCUCUCUGGUCACAUCAGCGCUCUGACGGGCCUUGGCUCUCUGCCCCUCCACGCUUGCUGCAGCCACAGGACCUUUGCAUUUGCCACCUCUUGGCCUGGAACCCUCCCUGCCUGGCCCCGAGCACAGCUGGUUGCUUGUAAGCCACAGGCUCACGGGGUCUUUCUCCGACCCCCGACGUUGGUUCUGCCGGUCCCUGUCUUAUUCCAUUCAUAGUCUGGUACCCUCUGAAGUUACCUGUGCAAUAACUUACAGGUGCUUAUGGUCUUUCUUUUUCUCUCUCUCUAGAGAAGAUGUCGACUCUGCGAAGCGGCCUGCGUGCCUCCCAGGAGUGGUCUCACUCUCUGGCACCUCAGAUGCCCCCACAGGGGACAAAGCCCCUUUGACUCUAAUUGACAAUGAAAAUCACAAAGAAGGCGCUCGCUCGCUGAGAGCCAAGAGGCCAGUCUGUGGGGAAAGGGCUUAUCUGACACAUUCCGUUCACUUUGCAGAGUGUGCCCCCCCCCCCAGGCACUCAGAGACACUCUCUCCCCCUUCCCGCCCCGGGGGAGGUAACCGCUUCUUAAGGAGGAAAGAAUAUCCACUCGACUUUCUCUCAUUUCCACCUGGGAAGGGGAUGUUGGACGUUUGUUGUGAUCCUCAGCGGAUCCUGGAGACCUGGGCUCUGGCAGGAAUUUGCUACGUGACCUUGGGCAGUGCUCCUCCCCUCUCUGGGCCCUACUUUUCCAUCCCUCAAAUGAGAGGGUGGAAAUGUCUGAGACUUGGGCUCUCUCAACGUGGUAUUUAGGAGAACACGGCGUCACCAGGAGGAGGAGAAACCACACUGUCCCAAAGUGCCCCUGCCGUGGGUCUCGUCCAGGGCGUCCAUUAACAGCCCUCUCACUGGUCUCUGCUCAGCCUCCCAGAGCUCUUUCCCACCCAUUAGCUCCCUGCGGCUCGGGAAUGGAUGGAGGACCACCGGUCUUUGUCCUCACUCGGUCUGACUGAGAGGAAAGGGGCAGAAAGCAAAGCCUCCCCUGCCUCUGCAGACUUACUGGCUGCCAUGCCCUCCCUUGAUUCUGCCUCAGGGCCUUUGCACACGACACUCAUUCAGCCUGGGACCCUCUUUCCCCAGACACCUCACUUCGGUAGCUCUUCUCUCGAACAUCUCCCAGAGGCCUCCUCUGAUCGCGCUCUGUCCCCCUACUGUUUGAUUUUUCUCUGGGCUUUGCUUUUCUUUCUUUCUUUUUUAUAUUUUUUAGUUGUAGAUGGGCACCGUGACUUUAUUUUAUUCAUUUAUCUAUUUGUACGCGGUUCUCAGGGCCAAACCCAGUGCCUCUCACGUGCUGGGCAAGCGCUGCCACUGAGCCACACCCAGCCCCCAUGGCAUUUCUGGAGGCUUGACAGUGGACACGCUCUUGUUGACGGUCUGUCUCUGGAAUCCAGUUCCAUGAGCCGAGGGCUCUGCUCGGUCUUGUUCAUCGCUGUGUCCACGGUCCCCAGCAGGCGCCUGGAACAGGGUCCAACGCAAUAAUUUCGGAACCAAAUUUGUCUCUCAGAGAUGCAGAGGUGAAAGUGACCUUAAAAGAUGGAUUUCACUGUCCCCAGGCCCAGUCUGGUGGCACCCCGGUGGGCCUCUCUUCUGUGAGGGUCUCAACAGAGAUGGAGAUUCUGAGAAACAAGCCAGGUUCCGUUUUAGCUUCACGAUAACAGUGGUGGAAGGAGUGGUGUUGUCAGCAGUUUUGGGGAUGGAGCACCCAGGGGUGCCCUACCACUGAGCCACACCCCAGCCUUUUGUAAUUUUUUAUUUCGAGACAGGGUCUUUCUAAGUUGCUGAGGCUGGCCUUAAACUUGCAAUCCUCCUGCCUCAGCCUCCCAAGUCACUGGGCCCCUGUGCCCAGAAUAAAAUGGUCUUCAUUGUGGCCGAGGCCUCUGCACUUUCUUCUCUAGCCCUUUCUCACCUUCUUAAGGGGUGGGUGAGACAGAAAAAAAGAAAAAAAAAGGCAGGAUGUUGCAGAUGAAUAAUAUGAACAAACGCUAAAAAAGAGAGACGGAUCCCUGGGCCCAGGAGCAGGGGUUCCCAGCUGUCUCACUUCUCCAUAGCAUAGGUCAGUAACGGGCGUGGCCACUCCUCAGGGACAGCCAGGAGGCCGGAGGAGCCUGGGGUGCUGACAGGAGGCCAGGGCGGGGAUCCAGGUCACAGGCCAGGUCAAACCCAGGGGGACAGGUUCACCCACACCACCCACUCUCGAGGCCCCGAAACCCCUCCAGGAGUGAGAUCCCCUGUAGCUGAGGCGAGGAGCAAGGCCUCCGGGGCCAGACGCCUGUCUUGGAAACUGUGCUACGUGACCUCGUGUGAGCACGUCACUGCUCUGUGCCUGGUCUCAGCUGGAAAGUGGGGUGAAGGUGACGGUGACAAUGACGGUGUCUGUGUUCACGAAGAUUCACCCAAGGUGCUGAGGAUGGAGACCAGCCCAGGCUGGUGGUUUCUGGUAUCAUCCUGUGGCACACACGCUCCGUGUCCCUCACACAGGCACCCCAGGCCCAAUUCCGGUGGGCUUCCUGGAGGAAGAGGAAGAGCCAGCCGCAGCUGAGUGGCAGACCUGGGGCCAGGCUUAGAUGUCCUCCCUGCAGGAAGUCUCCCACGUAGCGGGCGUGGCCACCCCAGCUUUUACCGCCCUCCCCCUCCACACUCAAGCUGGCUCCCCACCAGGUCAUGUGCCUAUCCCCUCCGUCCCUCUGUGUGUGACUCAGCCUGGCAGCUGGACCGAGGGUGGGAGGAGAGCAUUGCCAGGGGCCGCUCGGAGCAGCUGCCUGACUGCAAAGGUCGGGGUAUUGGGUUUCCCUGUUGUCCCCUCUCCCUGGGGGACGGGCACGGGACUCCAGCUCGGGAACCACCCGUCACCUGCUCCAAAUCAGGGCUCGGCUAUAAGGCGUCUUCUCAUGGAGUGCUUCCCGCCACCGAGGGCUGAGGGCAGCCAGUGCUAUUUUGGUCAUUGCUAUGGAGUGAGGCUCACUGAGGCCCAGCGUCCUGCUUGAUGUCCCUCAGCUGGUGGGGCUGGGACCCAACCGCGGUUUGCAGAGUUCAAGCCAGCAGCCCGCCCACCCGGACACAGUGCAAGCGCGUGUGCACAUGGUGUGCCAGGCAGGGGGCCCGGCGGUCCCCGUGGUCUGAUUCACAUCUGCCCAUCACAAGCACAAGCUAGGCCGUUCACAUUUGUGUACUGUUGUAAUUUACAUUUUCCAUUUAUUUUUUAAAAGGGUUUUAAAAAUGAUUGUAUUUAAAAUAAUGAUUUUGAAGGAGAAUUAUAACUUUGGGGCUUGUCUUUUCUGGAAUUGGGAUAAUCUCUGAAAAAUAAAUAGCUCAUCACUUGCCACAUUUCCAGGAGCUCCCGUCCACUGCUCGUUACAUAUUCCUAGGUGUUCCAGAAGGUAGGAAGGAAACAGGGUCUGUCCACGGAUCAGGAGAUCAAGCCCAAGAUCAAGCGGAUCUUCUGAUCCGCUCUGUUUCCUUGACAGUGGUGGCCAGGCCAUCUCUGUGACCCACAUGGGUGUAGGAACCCCUUGAGGUCGCGAUCCCCACACCGACCCUCAGGUACCUGGAGACAAGCCGCGGACAAGCCCUGCUCCUUCUCUAUUGCCUCAGAGACAAACUCUGCCUGAGAUCCGCGUGGGGAACCGUUCUUAAACCAGCAAAGUCGGGCUCCCACCCCGGGAGGACCCCUGGGGCAGUUGGGGUCGUCUGCAGACUCCAGGCGGCUCAGGCUCCGUGACUCUGGGCUUGGUAGGUUGCCGGGGCAGGGUUCGCCCCAGUGAGUGAAGUGACGGGGGAGGUCAUCUCUGGGCCGCUCUGUUCUGUUUUAAUCUUUGUUGUUGUUGUUGCACCUGACAGCAGACGCCUGUCAAUUCCUCGCGCACAAACGGGGCGCCACAGGGCUGGGGUGGAGCUCCGGGGCAGAGCGCUCGCCCACCGCGCGUGAGGCACCGGUUCGAUCCUUGGCACCGCAUGUUAUUGUGUCCACCUACAACUAAGAAUAAAUAUCAGCAAACAAGACGAAACAGACGGAGCACGACAUUUCAAUUCUCUGGUUGUACCCGGUGUAGAGAGGCACCAUCCGUGCAGUCGUACGUGUACCACCAUCUCUCCUACCCCUCCCCACCUCCCCUUUGCCCAAUCCAAGUUCUCCCCCCAUCAUAGAUCAGCAGCAUCCACUAAUCAGAGAAGACAUUCAGCCUUCAGUUUUGGGGGGGAUUGGCUUACUUCACUUAGCAUAAUCUUCUCCAACUCCAUCCAUUUUAUUCUCUUUUAAUGCCACAGUUUUAUUCUCUUUUAAUGCUGAGUCAAAUUCCAUUGUGUAUAUACGCCACAGUUUCUUAUCCUUCAUGGAUUGAUGGGCAUCUAGGUCGGUUCCACAGUUUAGUCACUGUGAAUUCAGCUGCUAUAAACAUUGGUGUGGCUGCGUCACCAUAGUAUGCUGAUUUUAAGUCCUUAAAGUGGGACAGCGGGGUCAAACGGUGGUUCCAUUCCCAGUUUUCUGAGGAAUCUCCACACUGCUGAUUUGCAGUCCCACCAGCCGUGUAGGAGUGUGCCUGGUCCCCACCUCCUGUCCAACACUUAUUAUUGCUUGUAUUCUUGAAGAUUGUCAUUCUGACUGGGUGAGAUGAAGUCUUCGUUUUGAUUUGCAUUUCUCUGAUGACUAAAGAUGUUGAGCACUUUUUCAUAUAUCUUUGAUUGCAUGCAUAUCUUCUUCUGAGAAGUGUCUGUUCAGUCCCUUAGCCUGUUCACACACUGUUUUGUUUUUUUUCUGGAGUUAAGAUUUCUGAGUCCUUCAUAUAUCCUGAAGAUCAGUGCUCUACCUGAUAUGAGUGUGGUGAAAAUUUCCUCCCAUUCUGUAGGCUCUCUCUUCACCUCAUGAUUGGUUUUUUUUUUUUCUGAGAAGAACCUUUUUAGUGUGAAUCCAUCCCAUUUAUUGAUUCUUGAUUUUAUUUCUUGCUCUGUGGGAGUCUUGUUAAGGAAGUUGGGGCCUAACCCAACAUGAAGGAGAUUUCUUUUGGCAGAGACUUCUUUAGGGCUCCUGGGAAUCAUGGCCAUAACUCUCCAUCCAAGGGUGACUCAGCUGCCCACGAGGGCCAGUUAGGUAGGGUCUGUGGACUGUUAGAUCUACGCAGACUUUUUAGCUAUUUUUUUUUUCUUUUUUAGAAAAGGUGCAUACUCGUAAAGCACAUUUGGGCUGAAAUCACACCCACAGUCUCUGAGUUUGGAGCCUAUCGUGUCCUCAAAAUGCCUUUUCAAUGUAUUGGCCGAUGGAUGACCCCACACUGCCUGGCGAGGUCUUAGGGUCCUUCCUCUCCUAAUGGUCAGAGGCCUGAGGGAACAGGUCUCCUACUUUACAGAUGAGAAAACUGGAUUCCAAGUGGCGAAUGGGCGGCUUUCAGUAUUUAAUACUUAAAGUUCAUACUGAAGUCAGUGUCCAAUGAUGGGGGAUUCAACCUAAAUGCCAAGGUCCAGCUACUUGAGCAAGAAGGGGACGAGGAUAUAACAGAGAGCUGGUGUCAGCCAGCCUGCACCCUGUGACACACGAGCUGGUCAUGGUGCUAAUGUGGUCCACAGGACCAAGGGAAGGUCACGGAGGGGAAGAGGCUGAGAAGGACCUUGGCCCUGAUCUCCUUCACCUGAAGCAGGAUCUAGACCAAGGUCAGCAAAUGCCUCCUUUUCCAAAGGGCCCGAGAGCUGAUAUCUCAGGGCUUGCAGGCCCCACCGUCUCGUGGCAACUGCUCCACUGAGCCCCCGGAGCACAAAGCAGCCAUCCACAGUGGGCAAACCAAGGGCCGUGUGCCAAUAAAACUUUAUUUAUGGACGCCGAGAUCUGAAUUUCAUAUCAUGUUCCUGGGACACAAAACAGUCUUCUUUUGACUUUUUCCUCCAGCCACUUAAAAAUGUAGAACGGUUCUUAGCUCACAAGCUGCUCAGACACCUGCAGCGGCUGGACUGGGCAGGUGGCUGGAGUUGGCGCAGGGGAGGGGUGAGGCAGGGGAGGAGGGUGCAGGUGCAGGGUGGGGUGAGCCCCAGCUCCGCCCGCGGGCCCUGCAGACACGACCUUGACACCAGCACCCCGGCGUACCCCAAACCCACGCAGCAGAGCUCUGGGUCCUUAAAGUGAGCCGUUUUUUCAGAUAGGCCCCGUCUGGCAGAGUUCUCAGAAGAGCAGUCGACAGCUCACUGGAAACCCCCAGCCCAGCCAGCCCGGGCCCUUGUCCUUCUGACUUCUGCCCCAAAGGUCACUGGUGACUUCCUCGCUGCCAAACUGUACCGGCUCCUCUGGGCCCUGUCAGGGGCGGCCGGGGGCUUUUGGAGCUGCUCACCAGCUCGGCUUCUGGGAACUCCAUCUUGUCAGGGCUCCUGGGAAGCCACUCCUCAGGCGUCCCCCGCCCUCCCGCCUGCUGGGCAGCUCCUCCUGGGCCUGGCCCCCCUCCAGCAGGGGACAGAAAGCUACCUAGGGCCAGGGAGGCGUGGCCAGCAGGACCGUGGUGCAGUGUGUUCUUGAGACCCAGUGCACUUUGGUGGCUAGAGUUUUGACAACAGAUUUGACAUUUCAGGACUUAUCACUUGACAUAGAUGUGGGUCCUCACUCCCCUGGUAGUGGCUACUCUUAUUAUUUUUUUCAGGUGAGGAACAGAGGCACAGAGAAGUGGAGUGACUUGUGUGAGGUCACGCAGCUGGACAGUGGCAGUCGUCAGGUGAGCCCGGGGCAUGUGGCUCCGGGAGUGUGUCCAGGACCUCCCCACACAGCCCUGAUGCCGCUCUCCCCCCUCCAGUCCCAUUGGCCAUCACAUGGCCUUCUCCCUGCUUACCCAGGUCACUCCUCUCCCAUUUUCUCACGUGGACGAUGUGUUCCCGUCCUCGCGGGAUCCAGUGACAGAAAUCCCGACUCUUGGGGCUGAUUUUACCAACAUUUAGAAUGUGCAGACCCUGAACCCAGCCAUUUCUUUGUGGGUUACUGUCCCAGAGAAACACGGUGCCCGAGGAGAGGAGCAUAAAUACAGGACACUGUCCAGGAUGAGAACUGGGGAGCAACCUGAGUGUCCACCCACGGGGGACACAUGACAGAGUGUCCUGGGGGCCAGGUUCCAGGAGGAACAAGGGCUGCACCUGCCGACAUAGAAAGAGCUGAGCUCUAUUUGUGGACAUGAAAGAAGCAAAUUGCAGAAAAAUGUGCUUUGGGCCCAGAUUUAUUUUUUAGGGGAGACGAAUCCCAAACUUGAGCAUGUUGGAAACACACUCUGUCACUGAGCCGCGUCUCAUCCCCACCCCCUCCAUGUAUCUGAGGUGUGAAGGAGACUUAAUAACAGCAAGACCCUGGUUCAGCUACGUGGAGACAAAACAGCCCGACUCUUUGGUUGGUUGGUGAUCGCUUACAAAAGCUAAUCCCGGGACCCAGGUAUCCCACUCUUAAGAAUUUGCUCAAGAAAAAAUGAAGACUUGUCCACUGAUGUUCGCAAGUAGCUUCACUCAUGACAGCCUCCAGGAGGAGACACCCACCCGAUCCUCCCAAGUUCGGGGAGGCCCGGGGGUUCAGCGCACUGUGGAGCACUACUCAGCAAUAAAAAGGGACAGGCGGAGGGAGCCUGGAUGACUCUGAGCGCAUUAUUAAUGCCGAGUGAAAGAAACCAGACUCCGAGGAGUACACAUGGGCCAUGUGACUCCAAUUAGGGCGCAGGCAAAACUAAUUCAUGGCGACGGACAUCAGAGGGGGGGUCGCCGUGGGUGGGGGCUGGGCAUCACUGGGAGGGGACCCAAGGGGAAUUUCUGAGGCGAUGGAAAUGUUCUCGGUCUCCAUUGGAGGGCUGCACACACGGGCGUGACCUUUUGUCAAAUCCAUCAACCCCCUGCUUCAGGUCUGCGCGUCGCUGUGAGUAAAAGUCCCCUAAUCAUAAAACCCGGCAUGUUCCGUGCGAGUCUGUGGAGGCUGGGAACGCAGGUGAUUUUCAUUUUCUCCUUGGGCUCCUCUGGGGUUUCCGGGACUGGCCAUGCGCACACACAGGGCUUUGGAGAGAGCAGGACAGAAGUUUUAAGGGUCACGUGGCCUGCACACUUACAGACCAGAACUCGCACCUCCUGUCGAUCUUUAUUUGUCUUCUGAGGAGGUUUUUCUUUCUUUCUUUUUCUUUUUUUAAGAAGGAGAGGAAGGGGGAGGCCGCGAGUGGAGGCUACCGGUGCUCCCCCGCAGGCCGGCUCCUCCGCGAAGUCCCCCUGGGUUUUCCUCCCACCCGGGCCCUGCGCGCUCUGCGGGGCUCCUGGCCGCGGGCUGGGCAGGUCCCUCUCCGUCACUGUCACCACUAAACCGUCCCGGGCUGAUGGGGGGCUAAGGGGGAACCGAGAGGGCGACCUCGCAGCCCCGGGUGGGAGGCCCUGCGUGGAGUCCCGCGGCCUCUGCCCCGGGAAGGCCGGGGCGGCCGUCCCGGGGGGAGGUGGCUGCGACCUGCGGCGGACCCCAGCGCCCCGGGGCCGGGGACCGAGCUUCGCCCCCGCCACUCGCACCGUUUCCGGCUCUGGCGACACAAUAGAGUCUCGCUGCGGCCCAGGAAGCGUCUGCAAAGUGCCACCCGGAGGCCGCGCGGCUCGGAGGCUGCAUCGGGGACGCAGCGGGGGCGCGGGGAGCCGCGGACUCCAGGGGCCACGCGGCCGGAGGCUGGGCGGGGACCUCAGGGACAGAGCCACGCCGACGCCCCCGGAGGGGACCGCAGGGACAGGGUGCUGUGGGGUCCUGGCGCUUCUCCGCGGCCCCACUGGUAGCACCCCGAGCCCUAGCGGGCGCCCUGUUUCCUCCUCGCUCUGUGACCGCGGGCAACUUUCUUCACCUCUCUGGUCUCGGUUUCCUUUUCUACGAAAUGGAAAGAGUGACGGGCCAACCUCGCAGGGGGGCUGGGAGGAGUCGGCGACUUCACAGGCAGGGCUCGGUGUCCCCUGGAAGACGCCCCGCAGGGUCGUUUUCUGUCACCAGGGCCGCCCCACAGCCCUUUAAAAACCCAGUGGGGCUGGGGCUCAGCGGUAGAGCGCCUGCCUGGCGGGUGCGGGUGCGGCCCUGGGCGCGAUUCUCAGCGCCGCCUAAAAAUAAAUAAAUGAAUGAAAUAAAGGUCCAUCAACAUCUAAAGAUAUAUACAUUAAAAAAAAAACAAAAACUCGAGUCACCAGGGCCGCGCCACCCGAGAGGCUCAAGAGGCUGAGGCAGGAGGAUCGCAAGUCCAAAGCCAGCCUCAGCAACUUAGUAAGGCCCUGGGCAACUCAGCGAAACCCUGUCUCUAAAUAAAAAAAUACAAAAAAAAGGGCUGAGGAUGUGGCUCAGUGGUGAGGGCCCUGGCUUCAAUGCCGGUGCACAAACAAACAAACGAACAAACAAAAAAACCAAGUCUGAUGGUGCUUUGCCCUUCAAUCCCUAUCAGCUGCACUUUGGAUACAACCGGACAGUUCCGAGGAGGACCCUGCGCCCUCCCCACAGGCCCUUCCGACUUCCCCCUCCUCGGCUCUUCUUUCACUGCUACCUCCUCCCCGGCUCCUUGCUGCUCCUGGAAAAUCACAGAUUCAGCCCAACCCCAGGGCCUUUGCACUUGCCGUUUCCUCUGGCUGGAAAGCUCUUCUUUCCUUUUCAGAGCUGAGAAUUUGAAUCUCAAAAAAUUCUCUUCAGUAUUGAAAUCACAGCUGAAUUAUCCCUUCUCCGUGGCACCUCCCCAGUCCCCCCACCCCGGGCCGUGGCAUGGGCCUCCUGCAUGGUUGUGUGUUUGCUAUGGAAGCUUCACAGGGUUGGAACUUGGCCUUACUCCAUUCACCCGUGAAGGACAAGUUCUUCCGGGGAGUUAGGCAGGUAUUGGUUCAAGUUCCGAGAUGUUUUUGAGGUGCUUGUAGGAUUGCUCAAGAGGAUGUCAGCUAAGUACCUCCCAGGGGUCUGGAGGGAUGCUGAGGAGUUCCAGCCAGGAGGCAUGCUUCUGCCUAGUUCACCCUAUGCAGGAUGCAUCCCACAAGACGGCUUUGCCACUAAGAAAUGAUGACCACACCCAGUGUGGCUUCAUCAAUGCCUUGAAGUAGAGCAGUCCUAGGGUUGGCUGAUCAAUUCAGCAACUCACCAGCAAGUGUCAAACAUCUAGGUUCUUUCCAUCUUUUCUUGUGAUGGCACAGUCUCUCUCAUGGACCCAAGAUGGCUGCCACAUCUCCAGACACUGUGCUCUUACAGCAGCAUCCACAGGUCAGAACACAAGAGGUCAAUUUCUUUCCCUCUAUUCUGUUUCAAGAGGGAAGAAAAUUUUCCCUGAAGCUUUCCAUAGACUUCCAUCAAAUCUUACGGUUAGAAAUGUCCUUGAUUGGCGAAGACCUUAAGAUUUGCCCACUGGGGAGUAGGAAGGGGUUCCUUCUCUCCAGUUUGACCUCACACGGGUCAAACCUGGGCUUUCCACAGGGCGAGGGGGAACUGUGCUUUGGUGACCAGUGGUGUCUUCUGUGGGUGUAGACGAUAAAGCCUGAGUGUGCUUCUGCUGUUGGGGAGGUACCAGGAAGUGGCAGGGCCAGGAAACGGGGGGGGGGGGCACCUCGUCUUGCUGCGAGCCUGCUGUAGGGGAAGGCCGUCACUGAGCCAAGCGCUGCACAGUGCUGGAGCGAGAUAGGGUGGCGGAGCGGCGCCGGACAGGGAGUCCAGGUCCAGACCAGGACCUCGAUCCGAGCAGCCGCGGUGGAAGGAGGGUCUCCCUGGAGCCCGCGCCCGCAUGCCCUGUGGCUGCCCGACUCCGCGCCCCCAGUGUCAUCUGGAUUCUGAGAACCGCUUCCUCGCUGGUCCCGCAUACCGAGGGGGCCACCGAGGUGCCCCAUGAGGGAGCAGCUCGGCACAGCUGCCCUCCGGGAGGCAGAGUGUGCGGGUUGGAAUGGAGACGGGGAGGAGCCUCUCUGGGCCUUAGCUUUGCCUCUCAGCAUCUGUUCCUCUUCUUCUCCCUCUUUUUUUGUGGUGCUGGGGACUGAGCCCAGGGCUCUCUACCAACCAAGCUACAUCCCAGCCCCCCUAGUGCUGAGGCCCCAGUUCACCUUUGGGGACCUGUACCCACCCUCAGUCCAUAAGGUUCCAGUGGGACUCACCCUUCCUUGCUAGCAGGAGACACCCGGAUCAGGCCUGGUCAUUCAGUCGGUGAUUGAGCAUGUUCCAGUCCUGGCCCCUCCGAUUCAGCCUUCCAAGACAGACCCUGGAGAAAGAGGCAGUCCCUUUGAGCACCUGGAUCCAUCUGUGCCUGAAGCUAAAUAGACAUUUUACUUAGAUGCACCAAUAUAUUCCCUGUUUUGCCUGAACUUGAGUUGGGUUUCUGCCAUUGCAUCUUAAGGAUCCUUGACAAUAUGGAAAAGCUACUUGAGGGAUGAGUUCUGAAUGUGGAAAUUAGAGAGUUAAGGUUGACCUAAGAGGUGUCUUCCUGGGAGGAGAGUGGAGCUUCUUAAGAUGAGGCAAAGGUCAGCCCCAUGGUGCACACCUGUAAUCCCAGCUACUCCAGAGGCUGAGGCAGGAGGAUCACCACAAAUUUGAGGCCAGCCUAGGCAACGUAGGGAGACCCUGUUCCAAAGCAAAGGGGAGGGGGGCUAAGAACGUAGCUCAGGGACACAGCACUGGCCCAGCAUGCCGAGGCUCUGGUUCAACCCUCAGUGCCCAGGGGACGGGGAGUUAGGCAGGAUGGGAAACAAACACUGCAUCAUUAUUCAACAGAUGCUCCUUGAGGAUCGUCGAUCCAUUUUCUGCUGCUAUAAUAGAAUACCCGAGGCUGGGUACUUCAUAAAGAACAGAAAGUUCUUGGGCUCAAGAAGGCAGAAGCUUGCUUUGAUGACAGAUCUACUCAGGACACCUGGCUCACUCCUGUGGUGACAACCUGAACCACUGGGAAGCACAGAGCCCUGCCUCCCAACACUGACACCGAGGACCAAGGUCCAGCACGUGAACUUGGGGACACAGCCAGACCUCACCAAGGACCACGCGGCGGAGCUCUGGCACCUUCUCACGGUUCCGGAAUCGGCUCUGUCCACGGGACCAGGCUGGGGGCGUCGAGCAGUCGCCCACGUGGAAACGACGUCACGCUGCACAAAGAAAGCCACCAACUGAUUGAAAGGAGCAGCGUGGGAACUUCCGCGGGACUGCGGGAGCGGCGUCCAGGUGCAGCGUGGUCAGCAGAGGGUCCAUCGGAUUUGCAAAUCCGAGUGCAGAGCUUCGGAGCUGGCCUUUGAGAUCAGAUUUGCGGCAGGUCCUGGAAGAACGGGAGGUGCUGGGGGGUACCGCGGCCCCUCACCCUCUUCCCCCUGUUGAGUCGGGUCCGACGCCCAGGGAGGGAGUCCUGGCCAGCCCUGGACAGCUCCCGAGGUCGCUGCUGGAAUCCAGGCGCCCAGGCCUGGCGGGUCUGCAGUCGGAGGCAGACACUCGCCUGCAUUUUAAGCAGAGCUCCACAAGAGCCUGACUCAGGCCCAGUGGAGCGGGACAAAUGAAAACUCGGGAGGGAAAGACGGAUUAGUCACCGGAACAGUUCGCCUUUGAGAAUGGAGCCCCCACGGUUGCCCUCCUUCCUCAGCAAGAAGCGGAUGCCACCAGGGACGUGGGAUAAAGCCUGGCUGGCGGGGGCUGCCACCGCGGGGGGAGGGGGGGCUCAGUGGGGCCGAGCCUGGACUCCGCUGGUGCCCUGGUUCUGUUGCGCAGGUUGUCCACUGCUGACCCCCGCGGAGGUGUGAGGCUGUGUGUGGCCCCCUCUGCGUUUUCCUGUCUUAGUACGUAAGACAGGAAACAAGGCAUGAAUACUACACAGACUUGAAGAGAAGACACCUCUUUCUCAGCUCAGAGAUCAGCAAACUACAACCCGGGGCCACUGUUUUUAUAAAGUUUUAUUGGAACGUGGCCACGCCCACUCAUUUACAGAUUGCCCGCGGCUGUGUCAACAGUGCCACCGCAGCCUGGGCUGCACAGAAACUGUGUGAUCCAUAAAGUCAAAAUACGCACCAUCCACCCCUGUUGGGCUCUGGUCAAGCAUAUGACAAGGGUCAGCCACUGGGCGCGACAGAACUCGUCCUCGUAGUCCUGUUGACAGGGAAGGGCACGCUCAGAAUCUCAAGGACGGUCAGGAGCCAGCCUCAGGGGCCAGGCCACCAGAGCCACAGCCGGAGCCUUCCGAGGGAUGGCGCCAGACGAGACCCAGUGACAGCCACCCUGGCCCCCCGCAGGUGUGUGCCCUCGGGCUCCUGAACACCAGGGCCUCUGAGGUCGCAGCCCCUGGCUGUGGCCUCCUACCUGCUACACAGAUGCACAGGGACACUGUGGAGGGCUCACGAUGGCCUCGCUCCAGGGCUCUGGGGCAACAGUGCCCAGCAGAGGCGGGCAGGAGGGGAACACGGCCUUGUUUGCUUGUUCUGGUUCAAGUUCACAUUGGCCAUGGUGACGGUGGACCCAAGGCCCACACCCAACGGAGGGGUCACUGCCGCACAAGGGCCGGGGGCACGGCCUGGCCUGCCAUCUGCUCCCCAGGCAGCAUUCAGACCGGUGGCCUCUGCCACCAUGAAGCCACUCAGGGGCCACCGUCCCAAGCAGCUCGGAGGGAAAGGAGGAGGAGGAGCCGCGGGGAGGCUGCAGGGCCAGCGCCGAGGAACCAGCCUCCCCCGCGGGUGCCCAGGGCCAGCUCCCGGGCCCCUUCACCUGCGGAGGAGGCCGGAGGUGGGCCCCCAGUUGCCCAGGACCAGAAGGAAGCCCCCGGGGCAGCGCUGGCUGAGGGGGUUGUGCACCCCCACACAGCCGAGUCCCACCGCCCAGAGCAGCGACGGCGACCUCGCCAAGGCCGGGCGGAGGGGGAAGAAGCAGGAGCUCGGGGGCCUUGGGUGUAAAAACGGAGAAACACAUAAAAAGCAGAACGUCUCCGUCUUCAUGUGCUUUUUACCACGACUAUUUGGAUACACGUAGAUCCAAACAAAUGUAUGGCAGAUGGACGAGAGAACACUCUGGAAAUAUCCCCGCGUGGGUGUCUGUGGGGAGAAGGGAGCAGAGGAGUGGGGCGGGCCAGGGAGGCAGGAGUAAGAGGGGAAGGAGGGAGAAGCCACAGGCCAGGGGCCAUGCUGCCUGCCAGCCCAGCAGGGUGGCCCUCUGCCUGGUGCAUCUGCUGUCCACGUCGAGAGGGGGAAGCCGCACAGCCAAGCCAAGCAGCCGGGCACGGAGCUCACUCCUGUAGUCCCAGCGGCUCCAGAGGCUGAGGCAGGAGCAUCCCAGGUUUGAGGCCAGACUCAGAAAUUUAGUGAGGCCCUAAGCCACUUAGUGAAGCUCUGUCUCAACAUGAAAAAUAACAGGGGCUGGGGAUGUGGCUUAGCAGUCGAGCAGCCCUGGGUUCAAUUCCCAGCACUGCACAAACAGCACCAGCAAGAAAAAAGUGUAUAAGGAAAACAGAUCCUACAAUUCCAUUCCCUAACGUGAGUGCUCUUGCUAUUCACACACACACACACACACACACACACACACGUACACACACGUACACACGUAUGUACACACAUUGACAGUAUUAGGAUCACAGUCUACAGGUAAUGUGUCUAUUGGGAGUUUUUAUUUUAAUAAUUUAGUACAUAUGAUUUAUAUUCUACUCCUUCCCUCCUCAUUUCCCCCGUUGAUCGUGAGCAUUUUUCCUAUUUCACGAAGUAGUCUUUGGGCAGACUUUCCAAUGGCUAAAUAACUUUCCACAUUGCAGACACGCCAUGCGGGAUUCCAGUAUUUAAUACUAGUGAGAACACAGGGCUAUUAUAAUGAUGCUGCAGUGAACAUCUUUGUGCAUUAAAGUUUGCCAGACGGAGUGAUUAUUUCUGUAGUUUAGAUUACCAGAAUGAAAACAGGCAGGGGACAUGAAUGUAGGUGUGUAUAUAUGCAUGUACAUAUGUAUUUAUUUUUAAAUGAUUUUUUAGAUGUUGAUGGAGCUUUAUUUUAUUCAUUUAUUUAUAUGUGGUGCUGAGAAUCGAACUCAGUGCCUCACACACGCUAGGCAAGUGCUUUACCUCUGAGUCACAACCCCAGCCCUUGUAUAUAUUUAUUUUUAAGGCUUUGGAUGCAUGUUUAAAUUGGGAAACAGAAUACAGACAAAAGUGCUUAAACAUAAAACAUAACACAAAAAUUCCCAUGACACACCAUGCAGGUGAAGAAAUAGAACAUUGCCCAGGGUACAGCUGUGUACACACUUGUGAUCCUGGUGACUCAGGAGGCUGAAGCAGGAGGAUUGCAAGUUUGAGGCCAGCCUCAGCAUCUUAGCCAGACCCUGCCUCAAAAAAUGAAAAUAAAAUAAAACAAAAAAUUAAAAGAACUGGGGAAACAGCUCAGUGGUAAAACACCCCUGGGUCUUCCCCAGCACUAAAAAUCAAAGGAAGAAAGUUGCCAGACAGCAGACCCCUCAGGCCCCUGAGUCUCGAGGCCGGUGCUCCCCUCCUUUCCUGAUAGAUCUGCUACCCCCUGCGCACCCUGGGCGCUGUGGUGUAACAGGGCUUUGAGCUCUGUGUAAAUGGACUCAUCCACAAAGUGCCCUUUCCUGCCUGGCUUCUUAGCUCAGCGCUGAUUCUGAAGUCCCUGCCCCCCGCCACUGCGUGGAGCUGGGGGAGGCUUCCCGCCCACGUCCUCUGUUUUCUCUGAAUCCAAUCCGCAUCAGGCUCACACUUCUGAGGACCUAACCCCGGUGGUGGGCAGGGAGCCCUGUUCCCGUGUAUUUGAGCAUGUUGGGGUCUGUGAGGUCUUGUUGUGACCCCAGCGUCCCGUGGAGACCUGGCAGACAGACCUGGCUCCUAAUGUCCUCAUCUGCCCCAGGAGGAAGCUGAGGCUCUGAGGGAGGGGACCGUGAGGGUGGCCCUCUGCCCGUUUCCACCACGAGAGGAAACACGAGUGUCCGCUGCUCCGUCCGGUUAUCCUAAAGUGACCAGGGAGCUCUGUGAGCAGCUGGGAGUGACCGUCGAUGACACCCGUCCUUGUGGGCUCACGGCCUGCCCAGCCCUGGACGCUGUGUGGCCGGGCCUCGCCUGUUCUCUUCUCCAGCACGUCCCCUCCCCACAUCUCCCCCAGGCGCGGCUUCAGCUGUCUCCUGACGAUGCUAAGGUGACGUGUCUGGGCCACCGCUCCCGAGCCCACCCAGCGCCUCCACCCGACAUCUAAGUUGACAUCCAACGCCUCCCCAUCUUCCCCACCCACGCGGUCCCGUCCUGGUGGGUGCCCAGCCCAGCCUUCCAGGCCUGCAGACCCACGCCUGGAGUCGCCUGUGACCUCUUCCACCCUGGGGUUUGGAGCCCACCCGUCAGUCAGCGCCGUCAUAGCGCGGACGGCUGCGGUGCCCUCCCCAAGGGUCUCCCCGCUUCCGACCUGGCCGUCUCCUAUUCCUGGGUGUCAGACUGCCCCAUCCACAAAUUGGCGGGAAAACCGGUGUAAUUCCAAAUCAGUUUUGGAGGGAGACGGGAUCGUGUGUUUUAAAUCGUCAUCUUGAGAGCACUGAGGCCGGGAAGGGCUAUGGUAAAAGGCGGCAAAGCGGCACAGCAGGCAGAGGGGCAGAUGCAGACGGAGCUGCCUGUCGUGUCUGUCACGUCAGCAAGGGCUCAGCGUCGCGUCCCCGGCUGCUCAGGCCAGGGUGGGCAGCCCUCAGCCCCUCUCUCAGUGUGGAGCCUGAGUGUCCGGGGAGCCCCAGGAUCCUGUUGGCACCUCAGGCAGAGUCCUUCCCCUGUUGAGAGCCUCCCGCCUCCUGGGGCCACCUCCAGGCUGUUCCCUGGCCUCCUGCUGGCCUUCCCUGGCCGCCCCAGCCUCCUGCCCUGUGCUGCUGUCCUCCUGCAGGCCCACCUCUUGCUGGGGAUGUCACCUCCUCGCCCCUGGAAUGCUGCCCCAGCCCUCCCGGUCAUCCCACUCGUUUCUUGUCCUUGACCUGGUGGACCCGGCCUUUUUACGGUUUCUACCGACGACGGACUCUCUUCCCCAGGACGCCCGCCGCUCCGACGUGCUUCGUCUGUUUUGCUCGCUGGUCUCCUGGAGCCUGGGGGGAACCACACGUUCAUGGGGAGGGUUUUCUCCACGGGGAGCCCGUGAACUUGGGGUUAGUUCAUUCCUUCCCUCAUUCAGCCACAGCUUCCCGCCUGGCACUGCCCCAGGGUGCGGGGACAGGAUUCCCACAGCCACCUGUGUCACCUGCGGGGUAGAGCCCUGUGGCCUGGAUUCAGGUCAGACACACCAGGGUGGCCAACUUCUGACCAGGGAGGCGGGAGCAGAAGUGACUCACGAAAGUGUCUGCUCUUCCGCAGGACCGCGGUCCCGUCCCUUCCCUUUUCUCUUCCUGCUGGCUGGUUUGUGGCGCCCAUGUGGCCAUCUUGGCCGUGGUGAAGAUGGGUGAAGCCCCAAGCUGGAGGGUGCGGGGGAUCCCACACGGUGGGGCCUCCGUACCUGUCUUAGGUGGCUUAGACUUGGGUGCAACAUGAGGACAGGAACUUCCUCUGCACAGAAUCCUCACUGUUUGGAGUGGACGCCCUCUAGCCUCUGUCCCCACGCAAUGACCUUCCCCCAGCUCUUGUCUGUUUUCUCAUCAGUAAACCAGGGAUGACCGCCAUCACAGUUGCCAUGGAGGGCAGGCGGGACGAGAGCUCAGGGUGGGUCUGGGGCCCCUGAGCACGGGGAGCACUCCCAGGGAGCGUGACUGUGGCUGGCACUCCCCGCUCUCCCCUAAGGAUGGGAUCCGUGCUGGAAAUCUGGAAGCCGGCCCGAGCCCGAGUGGCGUUGGAGAGGGUGUGGCUGUUUGUGUUUCUGCUGGCCCAGAGGACUCUGUCGGCUCCCAGUCAGUCUCCGUGGGCACUGCCAGGUGUCUGGAUUGGGACUGCACAGCCCUACUUUUGUGCUUUCAGUCCAGGAAACAAAAUGGAAAAAGAAAAGAAAAACCCAGACACAUGAGUGUGUGUCCAGCGUUGUCUGCUGAAACCAUCUGGCCUUGCUGGCUGCGAAUUUCAAGACGCACCAUCCAGGUCGAUCUCUGCCCUCGACUCAUGUGCAGAAUUCACCUUCUGUGCACCACUGUCUUUCCGAGCUCUUUUCUUCUCCUUUACCCCCAACCCAACCUUCGGUUUAUGAACCUGGGUCUUUGCUCCACUGGGAAAGGGACCCGGUGGAGAUCGCACCCCCUGGGACAUCUGCAUCUUAAAAGAGAAGCAGAAGCAGAGUUAUUAAUAAUUAUGCUGAGACAACAGCCUGCUGUGGGGUUGUCUGUCUCAGGCAAACUGGGGUGUGCGCUCGGCUGUCCAUACGGGGAUCGUUGCUCUAACUGGGGAGCAAUCCACAGAAGGGGAUGGACAGUGAUUAGGAGGCUUUUGCUGCAUCUUGGUAGGGUCUCGUCAGGGGAUAAGGAACUGUCUGAGGUUUCAACUGACUUAAAUGACAAGGAAAAUCACAACACAACAGGUCCAGAGGCAGGCGGUUCCACGUGGGUUAAUUCAGGAGCUCGGUGACACCACAGCUACGGGUUCUGUCCCUCUGUUAUUCUGCAUCUUCCAUCAGUCAGCACUGUCCUCCCUGAUGGUCUCAGACCCAAGUGGCCAGCACACUCUGGGCAUCUGGGCUUCACUGCUCAGAACAGCUGACAAUCAACCAAGGGUCAGCAGCACUCGAAGCACUUUAGAUCUGGGAAGUAUUUUCAUCGGCACAACCACCCUGUGAGGGAGGAACUCAUCUGCCCCGUUUUACAGACCAGGAUCAUUGCGGCCUGGAAAGGUGAAGUCACCUGCAUAAAAACCACACAAUUAGGAAGUGGUCGGGCUGGGACUGGAACCCAGCAGCUGGUUUCUAGAGCACAAGACUGUCCACGGAUUGGCUGAGAAGGCACGCAUGCCAACGACAGAGGGGCAAAGUCCCAGCUCUAUUCCCAGUGUUUUGUGGCACCAAUAUGAUUUGGCAAAGCUCUGGAUUCCAGCUUCAUCUGAUAUCUAUCAAGCUCCAAUCAGAUCUGGAACCACAGCCCUUUGGAGAGAGAGCUGCUUCCAACAGCAGGGCUAUCUUUGGGAGGUUGUUCCUUCCUUCCUUCCUUCCUUCCUUCCUUCCUUCCUUCCUUCCUUCCUUCCUCCCUUCCUCCCUCCCUCCCUUCCUUUCUUUCUUUACUGGGAAUUGAACCCAGGGGCACUUGACCACUGAGCCACAUCCCCAGCCUUAUUUUUUAUUUUAUUUAGAGGCAGGGUCUCACUGAGUUGCUUGGUACCUCGCCAUUGCUGAGGCUGGCUUUGAACUCGCGAUCCUCCUGCCUCAGCCUCCUGGGCUGCUGGGAUUACAGGCGUGGGCCACUGUGCCCGGCUUGAAGAGGGGCUGACGCCGGCAGUCAGAGGCGGCUCUACUGGACUAUCUGGAGGAGAAUUAUAUUUCCAUCUGAAGCAAUGAAGCUAGGUCCGUGUGAUCAGCCUUGGGUUCCGCUGUCCAGCUGUUCUGUCCAGUUCCAAGGCCAGUGGGGCCACUUCCCUCUUCUUAGAAAGCUGUUCUAGGUGCUCAGAGUGGGGGUGGGGAGCCUGAUAUACCAAGAACUCAUUUGCAUGUGGAAAAUGACUGACACCCCUGGGCAGCCAGCAGCUCACUGGGCACCUGGGGAAAAGUCCCUCCCCACCCCCUGCUUUCUCCUAAUUAACUUUUCUUGUAGGGGAAGCUUAGGGAGAGGCUUGCAGUCCCAAGGCCACGGAACCUGACAGGGUCUUGUCGGGAACAAGGAACUGACUGAAGUUGCCAAGCAGCGGAGUCUUCUCCCCCACAAUGUGAAACUCGUGAAGCCAGACGCAUCGGCAUUUCCCAGCCUGAGUGAGGAGCGUGGCAACGGGCUCUAAAAUUGUCCCCAGGAGACUCUCCCUCUCCUGUCAGCACUCCCCUCCCCCAGCUGAAGGCUUCUCCUUUUCUGUCUUCACCUUUUCCUACCUCACUGUUGUUUUAUGACUUUCCCGGCUGCAGCCUGGCCCAAGCCCUGCCCUGAGAGAUCACGCCCGGGACCCAGGGGCUGCCCACCAGAGUCCUGGAGCGGGUGGCUGGGGUGACGGGGAAGGAGAGAGAAGAGGUCAAGGCUGAGGCAGGGACAGGGAAAGAAAGUCCCCCCCUUGGGCUUGUGGAGCUGCUCUGUGCCAGGAUAAGAGUGGGGACCCUGGGUAACGGGGCCCGGGGUGGGCAGUGACCUGAGCCUGUCUCCCAGCACGUCCUCUGUGGGCCUGAGGGAAGCCAAGGAUCUGGUUUAUUUGUUGUUUAUUUGGUUAUUCCCCUUCGUCCCCUGCUCUGGACUGAAGGGCGGGACCUACUGGUUGUCUUUACUGUGGUGCCCUCGCUGGCGCACAGUAGGUGCUCAUUAUGUACCUGCCGAAGGACAGAAGCAACUGGCUAAGUCCUUUUAGUCCACCGUCCCCUGCUGGAGUCACAAGGGUGCCGAGGGCCUGAAUGCGGUGGGCUGUCCCCUCUGCAGUCUGGGCAUGUCCCCCAGGCCCGGCAGCAGACGCCUGUGGCACACGCUUUAGGUGUCCCCCAAGUCGAUCCCUUCUUGCUUGACAGCAGAGCCCCGAGUUGUUCUGGCAGCCACGGCCCAGGAAUGAAGCAGGUCUGAUCUAAGUCAAUGGUGGCAGGCUUUGCUCUCCGUCAGGGAACAUGCAAGAGUGGCCACAUGGCCCAGCUCUGACCUGCUGGGGCCUUGAGGCUCUUCCCUGAUAAGACAGGCACAGAGCAGUCAGCAGGGCCUUUGUCCUUGUCCUUCUUGCCAUGGACUUGCUGUGUGAGAAGGCAAUGGUGCCCUUUCAGCAGCUAUCUUGUGACUCUGAGGCCCCAAACCUGGGGAGAAAAAGCCUCCGUGAUGGGCACAGCAGGGUCAGAGGUGACUUGAUGUUGUCACCAAGUUCUGAACCCACCUUAGGAAUACACCUCUUCUAGACUCUUGCUAAAUAAGCAAUGUCCUGUCUUAAGCCAUCAGUAGCCCGUUUCUCCUCCUUGCAGCCAAAUGCAUCUUAAUGGAUCAGCACUCAGCCCUCCCCCCACGCACUCCAGGCUCUCCACAUCACUCAGGGAUCCUGCAGCAACCUUCCAUGGAGGCCCUGACGCUCUCAGUUCACAGAGGAGGCCCACGGGCACCAGCCAGCCUUAAGCAUCUGAUUAAAAGCUGUAUCAUCUUUCAGAGGAGGAUGGGGAAAAAUCCCAGAGGAACCCAGGGAGUGAGAGGGUGGGCAGGACACGGGCACAGGCCCAGGAUGGUCUCAGUCACAGUGUGGGAAGGUCCAGACAUUCUUUUUGGGGGCGUGGGUCAAUUCUUCCGCGAAACAUGGGAUUUUGGUGUGAAUUUGACACUAGCCCUCCCUGGCUGAGAAGGGGACUGACAUCCGCUGAGCACCUACUGUGUGCCAACAGUUUGUGUAAGGUUCUUUAUCAGUGGUUCUCGACAGGGGGCAAUUCUAUCUCCCAGGGGACAGCGGGCAGUAUCUGGGGAUGGUUUUGGCUCCCACACUGGGGAGGGGCACUACUGGCCUCUAGGAGGUACAGUACGCUGCCUAUUGUCCUAGAGGCACAGGACGUACCCCGACAACAGUUAUCUGACUUCAAACGUCAACAAGGCAAGGUUAAGAAGCUCUGUACAUGUGUACAGUGUGGUCUCCCAGACCCCCUCUUUACAAACUGGAAAACUGAGGCUCAGAGAGGCAUUAGGACCACCCCAAGGUCACACAGCAGAGCUGUUCCAGAGCCGUGUACCACUUUGUGAGGAAUCCAGGGAACAAAAGGCCAGCCACCUUUGGACACAACUGGUUCCAGGACCCACACCCGAGGGCUCACCACUGACCCCCUUUCCUCAGUACACCUUCAGGCACCCCAAGGCCAGAUGGGAUGCACCUGCUCUGGGAGGGCAGAAGUCACCAUUCUCUCCUGUGUCUGUAGGCACUUGCAGUGUCUACCCUGAGGCCACCAGGAGAACAAUCCUAGGCAUCUGGAAUCGAGAUAAAUAAGCAAUAAUGUUCCUGCCCCGAAGAUGAUUAUAGUUCAGAGGUGGCUAUUACGUGAUUCAGCUGAUCUACCUCAGAGAAAAUACAGUCUUCAGCUGGCAACUGGGCGGUCAGUGGUGCACGGGCAGCUCAGAGAGGGGUCAGGCCCAAGGGCAGGUCACAAAUGCAGUAGUGAUUAAGAACAAACGCUGGCAGAGAACUUUCUAGGUGCUGAGAGCUGUUCAAGUACUUCCCACUGACCGACAGGCCCUAGGAGCUGGGUGCCACCCCUACGCCCAUUGCACUGAGGGAAACACUGAGGACCCUGAUGCUGGACCCAGCCUGGCCAGCAGUUAGCCAGGGAGGGGCUGGGUGGAGCCUGGGGGCUCUGGGUCCUGGGCCCCCUCUUUCCUCACCUGCCUGUCAAGUGGUUCCUUUUAUUAUCAAGGUCACAUUAGACUAGAAGCUGGGAUUUCCCAAGGUCUUAUCCCGGUGGGGUGCAAGGGAGGAGGAGGGGGCAGGGGACAAUGUCUUCUGGGAAAGGUGGGAAGGGCAAGGGUCCUGGAGCAGAGAAGUUCAGACACAAGAGAACAAGGAGGGAAGAGAGAAAAAGAAAGGGAAAGAAAGGAGAGCCAGCUGCUCAAGGUCGUGGCAGGCCCCAGGGCACCCAAAAGGCCCGGGAGUCACCUCCCUGCAGUGGCCGCCCCUCUUGCCCUCUUCCGUCCCGGGGCGGCGGGGACGCUCGUGGGGCGAGGGCGCUGGCUGGUGCAGCUCGCCCGUCACUGUCGCCGCCCGCCCUGCGUGGUGUGCCCGCGCUCAGGAGUGUCGCGCGUAGCCUGCGGCGGGGGCGCCACGCGGCGGGGCGCGGAGCCGGACCCCCGCCUCCCCGGCUCCGCGGGCCCUUCCGGAGGUUCCCGCGCGCGCCCCGCUGAGCUUCCGACGUCGGCGCCGGGCGCGCGGCGCGUCUCCGGGGCCCGCGCGCGCCGAGCGCCUCUGCGGCGGGAGCGCGGCGUGGCACUUGGCAGACGCUCCCUGGCGGCGGGGGCGGCGGCGGCCGAGUCUGCGAGCCCCUCCCGCGCCCCGCCCCCGNUGACUGAGCAAAUCGCACAGAGGACCCGGGCAGGGUGGUCAGGGAGGGCUACCUGGAGGAAGCUGGUCUGAGGACUUGAAGGAAGACGGGCUUGGAGCCAGUUUCCUUUUGACCUCCUCAGGCCGCAGGACCCAGCGAUCUCGUGGUCCCGGGCCUGGGCUCCACGGUUCCUCUGGAGAUUCCCUGCCUCCCCCUCCUUCAGUGCUGGACCUCGCCCUCCCACGGCCCAGGGGUUGCUGUCUUGGGGUUUGAGAGUCAAGGGAGGGCAAGGACAGCCCUCUCACGGAGACGCUNUUCACAUAGUUUAAAAUUAGUUACCUCCGCGGGCUGGGGCUCGGGGACCCCGCGCCGCCGCCGGCCAGCGCCGCGUUGGCCGGGGAACAACUUCGCCGCCCGGUGCACCCGCGACUGCUCCGUGGGACAGAUGGCCCAAGCCCCGGAGUCCAGCGUCCCCGGCGCCGGUGGAGGGGAUGAAACCCCGAGGAAGCUCGGGGAUCCACAGAGCCCCAGGGGACCGUCCCGGCACGGCGCGCGAUUUUGCGGGAGCUUCGGGGAGAGCCGGUUUCUAACCGAGGGCUCCCAGUCGAAGCUCUGAACUGUCCUCCCACCCCCAAGUUUGCAAAACCACACUGUGAAAUAGCAGCGAGCGCUCGCCGUGGGCCAGGACCUUACGUGUGUCUUCAGCAGGCUUAACCUUUGCAAGUGGCUCAUGAAGUAGGGGCGACUUGUUACCCUCUUUGUAAGAUUGGGAGAGUUUAGCUCCAGAGAGGUUGGACAACUUGCCCAGGAUCACACAGCUGGUUAAGUUGGGGAUGUUGGGCUUCCAGGGCAGUCCCAGCUAGGGCUUUAAACUCCCAUUCGAAGCUCCCUUUCUUUUUUCUUCUGGUGGUGGGGGGCGGGGGAGGAAGAGGCCACUUCCCUACCCUCCUAGGAAGUGAGAAAAGUGGCCAGGGGUGGUGGGGGUGGGACGGCAGAGCCUGGAUGGAAGUUAGAGACUCCAGGGCUUUAAUCUCCAGGCCUCCUGCUGGGUCCUCAUUUACUCCCAGUCUGGGCUCUAGGAAGUCUUAAUCCUAGUUCAGGGAGGGCUGGUGCCGGGCUGGUGGCAGCUCCCAGUCUCUGGGGUGAAGAGGGACCUUCCAGGGCGGUUGGGGUGCAGUGGAGGCUGUGUGAGAGCACGGUUCCCACUCAGGGAUGCUGGAGCGCUGCAGCCCUUCUCCCUGUGAAAGGCCCUUGAGUAGGGGGAGGGGUUUGUGCACAGGUACUGCAAGCCCUUUGGCCAAAGGACCCUUCUAGAAAUGACUGUAAGAAUAAGGCAGGUUGGCUGUCUUUCCCAUCUCUCCCUGUCACAGUUCAUACACACACACACACACACACACACACGCACACGCACGCACACGCACGAGUCUCUUCAUUUGAAGCUGGCAGUUUCUGAAUUAAAGAUGCAGCAGCCUUGGCAUUGCUAAGCAAUGUCAGAUUCUAGGGAACUCCUCACUUCUCCCUCUGAGCCACUCCCUGCUCCUUAGUCUGGAAGAGAAACAGGAAACAAACCAAUUUUUAUAUUAAUGGGAAAGAAAAUAUACUGCUCCCUCCCGCGCCCUUGCUUGAUGGUGCCGUUCGUUUCAGACCAGAUAUAGAGUGUGUUGUGUUGACUGUGGUUUUAGAUUGUCCACGUGUGGAGUCCCAGGAAGCUGGAAUAAUGGAAAUUGAUUGGAGUCAACAUUCUUGAUAUGGAAGAAAGGGUCCCUUGCGCACCGUGUCCGGGAUGCUCUGAGCACCUCUCGUUUGCCCAUCGCAAGGCCUUUUCUGCCUCGUCUUCCCCACCUGUAAACAAGAGGCGGCGAAUCUGGUUUUCUUUGCUGCCUGUCCUUUUGUGUGCCCCCAAGCUGGUGCCAGGAGCAGACUGAUUGUGUAACCUGAGCAGCCAGACCUCGCUUGGGAGCCAGGGGCCUCUCCUUUGCCCUUUGGGAAUGGCCCCUCGGUGGCCUUUCAUCUUGGAACCUGGGGCUUAGCGCUGCAGGGCUCUCCUGGCAGCGGGCUGGUGUCCUGCGGGUUGUGCUCCUGCUGCCCUCUGUCCCCUCAGCCUUUACACUUGCUAAGGGAUCCCCUGCCUCCUGGCAUGGAGGGCUGUGGGGCUGUCCCUGGCUGCUCUCAGAUCCACGUGGCAGAGGCAGGCCUUACAGGGCCACCCUGGCCUUCUUGUGUGCCAGGGGCACGAAGCCUGCCCUGAGCGCCGUGGGAGAGGUGGGGAAACUAGGCCUGGGCCCUCGAGGAGCAACAUCCAGCCCAGGUGACAGAAUCCAAGUCUGCCAGGUGUGGUGGCACACACCUGGAGUCCAGCACCUUGGGAAUCUGAGGCAGGAGCAUCGCGGGUUUGAGCCCAGCUCCAACAACUUAGUGAGAUUCUGUCUCAAAAUAAAAAUAAAAAGGCUGGGGAUGUAGCUUGGUGGUAGAGCGCCUCUGGGUCAAUCUCCAGGACUGCAAAAAGCAAAACCCACCACCAACAACUAAAGUCCAAGUCCAAGGCCGGACUCCAGAGCCAGGCUGCCCAGGUGGAGUCCUUGGACUUGUGACCUCAGGCAAGCUGGUGUCGUCUUUUUGAGUCUUGUUUUCCUUAUCUGUUGGGGGUGGUGAUGGGUCCUGAGUGACAGUUUUAUGAGAGGAUAAGUCAGUAUAAAGCCUGGAGCAGGGCCUGCCAGGCCGUAAGACUCUAGUUAUUGCUGUUAUGUGAUGACUGAGCAAAUCGCACAGAGGACCCGGGCAGGGUGGUCAGGGAGGGCUACCUGGAGGAAGCUGGUCUGAGGACUUGAAGGAAGACGGGCUUGGAGCCAGUUUCCUUUUGACCUCCUCAGGCCGCAGGACCCAGCGAUCUCGUGGUCCUGCCUCCCCCUCCUUCAGUGCUGGACCUCACCCUCCCACGGCCCAGGGGUUGCUGUCUUGGGGUUUGAGAGUCAAGGGAGGGCAAGGACAGCCCUCUCACGGAGACGCUGGAUCUGGCUUGGGGACACCACAGAGGGAGAUGGUGCCGGGGACUUGACUCAGGACCCUGGGUUACGCCUUCUGGAAGCCUGGCCGCGUGGGGCACUCCCUGUGUGCUGGUGGACAGCACCAGGCAGGAGGUGACGGACACUUGCUCCCCACUGGGCCCUGCACCUGUGAGCUUGUUUACUCUUCCCUGUCGACAGAUGAGGAAACCAAGGCAGAGAGCUGCCCUGGUCACCUGGAGAGUUGCUGCGGGUCCCAGUGCCCAUGGCCCUAGCCGCCCCCCUACCACAUCCGGCUUACAGUAAGGGCCGGCCGUGGCCUGAGAGCUGUUAGGGAGGCAGAACAGGGUUGGAACCCAGCCCGUGUGACCUUCACCUUCUUGGGCCCCUUCCUGUCACUUCCCCUCUGUGAUGCCUGUGCUGUCUUCCGCAGAGUGGGGACAGCUGUGAAGUGUGUCAGGCCGCCUGUCUCCUCUGCGCCCGGGUCUGUUCGCGGCAUGAGUUGUGGGUGGCCCCCCGGAGCCAGGAUGCUGCUGUGCGAGCCCUGCCCCCCACACUGACCACAGGCCACCUGGGCAGAUGGCCACUGCGGUGUGCCUCAGUUUCCUGGUCUGUGCCACGGGCGCCCUGCCUCACCGGGUGUCAUGCAGCAUGGGUGGCCUGAGGUCAGAGACCCCAGGACGCUGCCAGGCACAUGGGGUGCUGGGGUGCCCGGUGGCUUUCUUGGGGAUGUGCAGCAGUGGGGGCCACAUGAGGUCUCUUUGGGGCUCCUGACUCCGGCUUCAGGAGGAGACUGAGUCUGGGCCCUGCCUGUUGGUGGGGUUGCUUUGGAGUCCCUGCCUGUGAGGGGAGGCUCAGGGCCAGGGGCUUGGGGGCCCCAUGGUGGGCGUGCCAGCUGGGCAGGGACAGGAAGAGGGCAAGCAUGGGCGGGGCCGUCAGCAGCCUCUGAAUGGCUCCCCUGGCUGGGGACAGAGACCUGUUGCUCCCAGGCACCCAGAAGGAACUGGCCGGCCUGGCCGCUGUGGGACAGAGACCUGAGCAGGAAGCUCCCAGAACGUCUGGUUCUGCUUUUGGAGGGCGGAGGCCCACGGUCCGGAGCUCUGCUGCCCAAACCAGAAGCUGCAGUGUUGCUUCGUCCCUUUUUUUUCUUUAAGAAGAUUCUGCUCUCCCCGUCUCACCCAGGAGCCCGGCAAGGGCACAUCUUUGAUUCUAAAGUCACCAAGUCAGAAAGAUCACCUAGUGACUGGGGGGAUUUUCACGUGGUGGUGCUUGGAACAGGGGUAUGAAGUGGGGGAUGCAGACCCACUUUGGAAAGGAAUCAGUGAUCAUGAUCCUAACUUGUAAGGUUCAAGAGCUUGAAGAGGUCGGAGCGAUGUGCAUCGCAUGGAGAAGGGCCAGGGGGAGGGAAAAAGGAAAAAACGUGCAAAGAAAUUUUGCUUACUUAAAAUUUCUUUGAAUUUUUAAAUAUCCAUUUUGUAUAAAAUGCAUAUGUGUACAAAUUCAUUUAAAAAGAAACGCCAACAGAAAGAAGUGUCACUUUUGGCACAGCUAUGAGAUGAAGACAGUGAUGAUGACAAUAACUUGCUAACACAUUUGCAAGCCCUGGGCAAGGCAUCUCCUAUGGAUCAACUCAGAAGUACACAUGUUCUUGUGCUUCCCAUUUUACAAUUGAGACAAAGACACAGAGAGGCCAGGUCGCUUUUCCAAGAUCACACAGCCUGAUGAAGCUGGCUGCAUAGCCAACACUUCUCUACUGGUCUGAACUGCUCUGACAUGAGUCUGGGCUCAGGAGCAAAAUUACUGCCCUUGGGAGACUGUCCGGAUGCCCGAGUGGGCAAUAAUUAAGCCAAGGUCCAAAUUAUCUCAGUUUUAGGUUGCCAGGGAGCCUGGACCAGGAAGUCAUGAAAAUGUUUUGAUGAUAAAAACCAAGUGCGAGGGCUGGGCCGUGGCUCAGAGGUAGAGCGCUCUCCCAGCACGUGUGAGGCCCUGGGUUCGAUCCUCAGCACCACAUAAAAAUAAAUAAAUAAAGAUUGUGUCCACCGACAACUAAAAACAAAUCAUAAUAUAAACCAACCAUGUGUGAGUGGGUGAGGGGGGCCCCAUUCUGUGUGCACACGGCAGACAGAGCUGUGGACAGGUCACCCACAAAGCUGGUAGGUCCUCUGCUGUGCGUGAGAACGGCCCUCGCUGGGCAGAUGUGGGCCUUGUCCUCAGGCAGCGGAGACGCGGUGCCAGCAUCUGAAUGAGCCGGGUGUCCAGGCGCACACUGGGGCCCUUCACCAACGUCCUGGCAGCCCUUUAUCUGUCACUUUGGGAAGAGAUGGAUGGCGUUGGUGUUCCUGGUUGUGAGACCUCAGGGCACCUCUUUCUGGAGAGUGCCCCUCUGUCAGGCCAGCGAGCUGAGCACCUGUGGGCUGGGCCCUGCCUCAGGAGAGGCCCACGUCCUCCCCGCCCCCAGCUCAGUUGGGUGGUUAGAUGUGUGAGGCAGGCCAGGCGGCGGGGCACCACUUCCCUGAGUUUUGUGAUUUCUUGUCCCCAGCAGGAAAUGCCCUCCAGGUGGGACGAGGUGGGCUGACCCUCAGGCCAGUGUGUCCCCCCCCAGCCUGUUCCCUGGGCACUGGGUGUGGUCAGAGCUGAUUCUUGCCCCAGAGUUGAGUUAACACAGAUCUUUUGAGCAAAGUGAUGGGUCGCUGGGCUGAUGUCCUCGUCCCACAGGUGAGACAGGCUGUGGCCUGCGGGGGGAGGGAGCGCUGGUCAGUGGUCCCGCUCCAGAGCCUGGCCAGUCCUGCUCUGGGCACUUAUGUCCUAGCCAGGACCUGGAGUCCCCUUUAAAGAGGGUCUGCGGAGUGCGUUUCCAGCUCUAGUGGCGCAGAUGGGACAAGUCCCCUGGUUGCCCCUGUCCCCAGCGCUGUGGACUUUCAGGCUGGGCGUCCUGUGCUUGGCAGGAUGUGAGCAGCGCCCUGGUCUCCACAUGUAGAUGCCAGGGCGGCCUUCCUGCGGGAUAAUCAAGACUGCCGGCAGACAUGGCAGAUACCCCGGGUGGGUGCAGGGUGGCUGCCAGCUGUGGGCCACUUCUUCACCCACCGGCUCUGCCUCAGCCCCUGUAGCAGCACGUGGAACCUGUGCGCACGCGUGUCUGCUCCAGUAGACCCUGCAGCGUGGCCCGGCUCCCCGGCUCAGGGUUUAGAACACAGGAGACUCUAGAGCUGCACCUGAGUCAGAUCCCAGCUCUGUGCUCUGUGACCUUGGCUGAGCCCUGAGCCUCUGUGUGUCCCCCCCCCCCCCAGCUGCCCCACCUGAUUGUAGCCCUCCUGGGGUUUGCCUCAAGGAGCAAGUGCAGCCAAAUGUGGGUCACGCUGGUGUCCCUGAGCCAAGGCUGGGACUCCAGGAGGCAGGGAGUCCCAGCCUUGCAGGGCUGUGUGGAUUCUGAUGUUUAUUUAUUUAUUUAGAUGCAGGGAAUUGAACUUGGGAGCACUCUACCUUGGAACUACAACCGCCUUUCGAUUUUUAAUUUUGAGACAGGGUCUUGCUGAGUUUCUCGGGGUCUCACUGAGUUGCUUGGGGUCUCGCUAAGUUGCGGAGGCUGGCCUUGAACUUUCGACUUUCCUGUCUCAGCCUCCCGAGUUGCCGGGUUUGUUUCUGUUUUCUCGGCUCCUCCAGGGCCAGAAGGGAGUCGCCCGCUGCCCUGUCUGUGUUUACUGCUGGGUCCCUUCCCCAGGGCUGGACUGACAGCCGAUCCCUUGACUCUGGGCCAGGGAGGCGGGCGGGUGCAGGCUGGCCUGACUGCGGCACUGAUGGCUGCUGGGAGCAGGUGGCUCGGCCUCGGGGACUCAGGGUCUUGUGCUUUUCUCCUGCUGGGGAGGGUGGGCUGCCUCUGUGAGAAGCUUCUGGAGGGUGGGGCUGAGAUCGCAGCCGGUGUGGCAGCGGGUGCUCCCUGGUUCGCCCAGUGAGCGCACAGUAGGCAGAUGCCGUGUGCCACGUGCAGGUUGGUGCCUGGCACGCAGCUGGGACAAGAUGGGCCUGGUCCCUGCCCUGGUGGAGCCCUCAGCCAGCACAGGAAGACGGCCCGCACCUGAGCUGUCAGAGUGAUGACGUCAGCGGAGGCCCUGUGUGCCCGUGCUCUGCCGUCUGCUCUGCGUGGCCACCUCCCUGGUCCCUUGCAACAGCCCUCUGAGCAGACGUCGCUGUUGUGUCCCCUUUGCAGAUGGGGAAGUAGGCCCGGGUAGACACAUACUGGGCAAGCCAUGCAGCUGGGGUGGGGGCACCCGGAAGGAAAUAAACUGAGGACAUGUCGGUGACAAGGGUGGUGACAGAUACUUCAGGUGGGGUGGUCAGGGGAGGCCUCUCUGGGGAGCUGGUGUCCAGCUGGGUCCCAAGGAGGAGGAGCUGGUGGUGGAGAGGGAGAGAGCUCCAGGCAGGGCCAGGCCCUGAGCCAGGGUCGUGCUCGGCUUGGUGGAGGAGCGUUAGGUGGCCAGGUGGCCCAAGGGGACGACGGGGCGGUGAGCUGGGUGCAGCUGGCAGGGUGGCUUGGGGCCUCGCGCCGGGAGCAGCCUGGCUUCCUUCCCGGGGUGUGAGGGGCCACGGGGGUCCUCGACAGGGCCGUGGCAGGUCCACCUGUGGCCUAGAAGCCAGGACUGCACGGGGCUUCUCAGGUCCCAGAGCCCCUCUGCCCCAGGCUUGGACACUGUCCAGGAGGGAGGGAUCCCCCUGCCUUCCUCUAGCCUGCUGUGUGACCUGGGGCUGGUUCUGUCCCCUAUUGGGUCUCACCUCCCACGGUCCUGUGUCACCAGGUGAUGGGGAAGGGUCCCUGGAGGAGGCCGGCUGAGCUUGCCACACCCAGGCAGGGCUCGGCCGUUGGUGGGCAGGGUGUGAACCAGAGGCCGCUGUGGGUGUGGGGUGGCCCCUGCUUCCUGUGACGGGGAGACACCCAGCUCUCUGCUCAGGAAGCGGAUUUGCCUGAUUAGAAGCUGUCUGACCCCACCCUCCUCUCAGCUGUCACAGCAACACCUGUCCCCCGUGGGGCGGGGAGGGCUGUGCAGACCCACUCUGCAGGCAGGAAGGCUGAGGGCCGAGAGGUGGGGCCGCGUGCCCAGGGACACUGUCUGGAAGUGGCCCAGGCCGCCACAGCGGGCUGCUCUGCUCUGCUAUCCCGGUGCCCCGGGUCUGGUCCAGUUAGAACCCGUCCUGCGUGGCCUCUCCCUGCGCCCUUGUUGUUACUUUUUCUUUCUUACAGUUUUAAAAACUGAGAAACGGUUCGCACGCCGUGGCCUUGCCCCGUGGCCUUGCCCGCCGUGGCCUGGCCCCUUCGGCGUGUGCGUUCCGUGUUUUGAGCCGGGCAGUCACGGCCUCCACCGUGGAAUCCCAGGUCUCCUGCGACUCCUGCCCUCGCUCAGAAGUGCGCCACGUGUGCGUCUGCCCGCCGGGGCCUCUCCCCGCUCUGGCCUGCUCCCCCAGGAGCCCAGGCCCGCUCCUUGGCCUCCCGUGGGUUUGUGGCUAAACAGCGUGCCCUUGACCCUGUCCUCUCUGACACCCACCACAGCACCUUGCCACGUCUGUCUCCCACCUGAGUGCUUCUUCCCAGUGGCUGACAUGUGGGGCUUCUGCGUGAUUGUUUCUGCAUUGUCUUUCUCAGCUCCACGAGGAUGGGGACUCUUAACUCUCCAUUUGCUUUAUCUCUCUGGUAUCAGGAACGAUGCCUGGCACAUAGUAGAUGCUCAUUAAAUAUUUGUCGAAUGGAGAAUCCACUUCCCUGUAUACGUGCUUGUGUUUUACUACCUAAUGUGACUGUCUGAAUUAUGUAACUGGAGGUAUUUUUGUGCAGACUUUGGGGAACCUAGGACUAAGAUACGGUGGUCUGGUGCUCUCCAACAUAACCAGAGGGGGGUGUGGGUCGAGGGCAUUUGGUGCAGGAGACUUUUCUUCCAUGCGGCAUGGUGCUCAGGUGUGAGGGUCCAGGCCAGUCUGUCAGAGUGAGGGUCUGCUGUGUGACCCUGGGCUGGGAGCUGCCCCCUCUGGGCCUUGACUUACUCACUGUAAAGUGGGUUGGGUCUUAUUUUCAGGUUGCUUUAGCUUCUUGGUGCUUUGCUUCUUUUUGGACAGGAAUGGUCAUAGCACGUCACCUGCUCCUUCCUGGGGCUUGAACUAAGCAGCCAAGUUCAUCUAGACAGGUGGCAGCCUGGAGGCAGUGGGCGCGGGGCCCCGGGGGGCUGUCAUUGGAGCUGGAACUGCUCCCUGCGCUCAGCCCACUGCUGGGGAGGCUGCCACCAUCUUGCUUCAUCCCAUGGCCACGGCCCUGGUGCGCAGACCACCCUGCAGGGCGAGGCCACUCGCCUGAGGUGAGGUGGGGCCAGUGUGCUCUCGGCCCCUGGCUGCUCGGCGCCUCACCGCUGGCUGGCGUGGUGGCUCACAUCAGCACGGGCUUCCUGGAGGCUCCUGUGGGUCAGAGGUCGGGCACAGCAGAGGUGGUGCCCUCUGGACCUCCUGGCUGCAGGCCAGCUCGUGGCCGCCUGUGCCCUUAUCUGGGCUAGGGUGCUCUGCUGCAGGCCACAUGUAGAACCCAGCUCCCUGUGGUUGUAGGACUGUGGUCCCCUUUCUUGUUGGCUGUUGGCUGGUGAUCAUUGUCACCUACUGGGGCUGUCCUCAGGGUGUGCUGUGUGGCCCUCUCACAGCAUGGCCACUUCAUAGCUGGCAGGUAAAUCUCUUGCUUCUGAUUUCCCUUGGGGGGACCUGGUCCCGCCUCCCACCCUGGCCUCCCCCCCCCCCAUUGGUUAUCUUUUCUCUCUCUUUUGGUCCUGGGGUUGGGUCCAGGCCUCGUGCAUGCUAGCCCCGAGCUCCUCUCCAGAGCCCCCCACCAAUUAUUUUUUAAAUCACCUGAUUCAGUCAGACGCACCCAGAGUCAGCUGCUCUGAGACCUUGAUUACAUCUGCAGACACCUUGGGCUCUGUUAGUCCCACAGUCUAUCAGUUACGUGUCACUAGCUGAGCACACCUCAGCUCCCAUGCACAGUAGUGACAUGAAGGGGAAAGGGAGCCCACAGGCACGUAGGUAGGAGGGCAGGGGUCUUGGGGGCAUCUCAGGGUCUACCAAGGCUGGUCGGUAAUGGUUUGAAUCCAGGACUGCCCGAUCCUAGGCUGUGUUCUGACCACGGUGUUUUGCUUGUUUCCUCUCUGGCCCACCCAGAAUGGCUGCCCCUGCGGUGGGUGGAGUGAGCUGGGUUCAUUUUGAGUAGGUGGACUGGGGUGCAUGGUAGGGUGCAGCCUCCUCCCUUGCAGGACCAGCCUCUCUGACGAGGCCCACGGGCCCCCUGCUUCUCUUGGAGUGGUUUGCCACUGGCUUGGUCAGGAUGAGCUGAGCUCCUGCCCCUCCUGGUCCCCCUCCACCUGGGUUUGGGCUGGAUCUGGCGUGGGGCUGCUGCCCGCUGGUGUCCGCCGACUCCACACGUGGGCUGUGGAGCGAGGAAGCCUGUCCUCGUGGGUCCGUUUCCAAACACUGGGGCUUUUCCAGAUGACUUAGCGGGUGGUGGUUUCUAGUUGAAUUCUGUCGUGUGCAGAGAGGAGGCCCCGCGGGUGUCCAACUCUCUGAAGUGGACGGAGCCUUGGUCCAUGAGCCCGUGUCCGCUGGUUGACCGACUCUUCCAUGUGUGUCUGAGCAGAGCGUUUCUGCUGGUGGGUGGCAGGCUCUCCGCGUGUUGUCCAGGUCGAGGGUGGCUGGGGUGGCCCGGUCUCCCCCAGCCCUGCUGUCCACCUCUUCUGCAGUCGCUGGAAGGGCGGUGGCAUCUCCUGCUGUGGGUCUUUAACCUGCCUGUUUUAGUGCUGUGUUUUACGAUCUUAGUGGGGGCUGGGGUGCAGCUCAGUGGUGGAGCAGUGCUUAGCACUCACGAGGUCCCCCCUCCAACCCGGCACCCCAGAGAUGAUUCUGUGUGGUACGCCUCUUGGUGGGUCGACCCCUCCUCUCCCAUGGUGCACCCCUCCCCCAUGUUGUACCCAUCUUCCCCCAGGUGUACCCCCUCCCCUCCCGUGGUGCACCCCCUCCCCUGAUGGUAUACCCCCUCCUCUCCCAUGGUGCACCCCCCUCCCUUGAUGGUGCACCUCUAUUUUUUUUUUUGGCGCCAGGGAUUGAACUCGCCCACUGAGCCAUACCCCAGCCCUAUUUUGUGUUUUAUUUAGAGACAGGGUCUCCCUGCGUUGCUCAGCGCCUGGCUUUUGGUGAGGCUGGCUCUGAACUCGCGAUCCUCCUGCCUCAGCCUCAGCGAUGCUCCGUGUUGGAGGCCCGUCUCCCCUGACAUCGCUGUGGCUGGGGACUUGGCUUUCUGUGUCUGCCUGCCCUCUCGGCUCCUGUGUGCACUUCGGGUGUGGCUCUUGCAGGGACAUUGGUGCCGGUUCUUGCCCCCUAGAGCCCUGGCAGCCUCUCCUUCUGACGAGACGGUUUAGCUCACACCUGCCUGACGUGGUUCUUGGCAGUGUUGGGCUCAGAUCCAACGUUCUGGUUACUGUCCCCAACAUAGGGGAUGGUUACGACACACGGGUCCCCUUUCUCUCCCAUCCCCACUCUGCUGGAGGCAGGAGGAGGAGACCGUGGGGCGGGUGGAACUCGGCUCCUGGCCGGGAGGUGCUGCAACAUCCUGCUCCUGCGCCCAGGCCAGCUGCGUCCCCACUGUGCCCACCCUGCCUGGCCCCUCUCUGUUCUUGAAGUGGACUCCGUCGGUCCAGCCUCAGCCUUGGCAUUUGCUGUUCCUGUCACAGGGAGGACGUUGACCCUCCCUCCUCAGCCCUGGGCCAGGCCAGCUCUUAGCAGCCGGUCACUCCCCACAUUGCUGCUCGCUCCUGGUCCCUGUCCCUGCCUGUUUGCUUGCUGGUGUCCGGGCCUCCCAUUGGAGUGUGAGUCCCCGAGGCCGAGCUCUGCGUGCUGCGGUCACUGACAUCUCCCCAGCACCUGGCACGGGGCGGGCGCUCUGUUAGCCUUGGUGGGCGGUGACACAGGGGCCAAAGGGAUCCGUGGGGCGCAGGGGGACAGAGCCCUUCCUGGCCGGGACCUGGUGGGCAGCUGCAGGCUGGGCUGCUCGGCCUCCUGUGCCUCCUGGGCAGAGACAGAGAUGGUGUGUGGCCGCGAUGGGGAGUCUGUGUGGUCCUGGGCGCUGGCGGGUGGCCAUCCGGGCUGGGGGUCCUAAGACCUUUUCCUUGGUACUGCCUGAGGGGAGGUGCCUGUCACAGGCACGUCCCUGUCCGCCCGGCUCUGGAAGCCAGCGGGGCGAAGGGGUGAUCUGCGCCCCUGCCUACAGGUGCCACGCACGCGCACACAGCGGGGUCUGGACGCAAACCGCUGUGUUUGGGGUGAUGGACGACUUCAGGUCACCGUUUCAGAGAAUGUUCGACCCCCUCCUUCCUCCCUCCCCGUGACCCUCCCUUCCCUGCACACAAACCUCCUCAUUUCUGUUUGCUCCGUGGGGAGUGAUGGCGGGCAGGAAGCCCCCGGCCGGGAGUGUAAACCCCCCCCCCCCAGCACGAGCACCCUCAGGUAACCAGAGCGUGGUGAGGGAGGUCAGGACUGUCACCUGGCUACCAGGUGACAGCAGCCCUGAGUGAUACGCAGAUCUCCCCCAGGUGCCCUUGAGACCCGCCCUCCCCCACUGUGCUUAGUGACCUCCCUUUAGUGACUUUGCUGUGGGGACCGACCCGGGCCUCACACAGGCUGGGCAAACGCUAUACCCCUGAGCCCCGCGUGGCCCUUGUGAUUUUGAGGGUGCUCAGUAGAAACUCCCCAGAGAUGGGCUCUGCUCACGUGGGUCUGGGUCACAGCUCUGCGACCUUUAGCAGAUGACUCUGCGACCUCAGUUUUUUUGGCUGUGAAAUGGGGCGUCUCUGUUCCUGCCUCCCUGGUCUCUUCCUCUGCACACUUUGAUGAGCACCUACUGUGUGCCUGUUUUAGAUGCCAGGCUGCAGCAGGGUUCAGGGCAGACAGACUGGGGGCCCUGGAGCUGGGAGGACAGGGCACUAAGUGGCCAGUGCUAGCCCGUUGGGCCCCUCGGUGCCUCCGCUUUCCUCUGCACUGUGGUCACCUGGUCUGAUCGCCCUGCUUGCUUGGGGUCACAUCUGGCCUCACUUGCCCCUGGUGUGCACUGGGUGUCACUGCCAAACGGUUCAUCACACUCCCUUGGUGGCUUCAUGGGUCCCCUGUCCAGCUCAGAUGGUGGCACUUCUGGCUCGGCCUCUUGCCCCUGUCAGAGUGGAGGCUGCCUCUGAGGUUGGGGGGACUUAGACAGAGGGGACCCGUUGGCUCCUAGGGCAGCGCCUGGCCGGGCGAGCGCUCCGAGUGCCGGCUCCGACUGUGCUGCUCACGCCAGCGCAGCGUGCUCCGGUCGUGCUGGUGUCCUGCUGACGGAGACACCAGGAGACCAGCGCUGCUAGUUGGCCACCCACGUCCCUUGGCAUAGAGGUGACUUCAGGUUGGCAGAGUGCAGGCCACGGGCAGCUUCGUUCAGGUGUCACCAUUUCUUUCCUCGACUCAGUAGCGGGGGCUGGAGAAGGCCGGGCUCGACCUGUGCCUCUCUGUCCAGGCCAGUCCUGGCGCUGGAGCCCUGAGCUGGAGUUCAGGUGGGAGAGGCCCGGGACCAUGCCGAGGGGUGGCCUGGGGCUGCCCUGGGCGCCUGUGGCUACGCGGGUUCCCUGGCUCCCACCCAGAGCUGCUUUAACCCCACAGUGAGACUCCUCGGAGGACCGGGCGGGAGGUUGGGGCGGGAGGUCGGGGCGUCUCCAGGUGAGCUGGAGGCACCUGCCACUGUGGGUCUUCCUGUGUUCUGGGAAGCAUCACCUUCAGAUUCGUUGAUUUCAGUCACCAUGUGCGCUCACACCUGUGUGCACCGCGUGUGCACCGUGUGUGUGCACGUGUGUGCACAUGUGAGGAUCUGGUCAGAGUCAUCUCUUGGGCCUUGCUCUGCCCAGCUCUUGUGCUCGCCACUGAGGACCCAGAUGUGAUCACAGCACGCCCCUCCCUGUCAUUCAUGCGUCCAAACCAGGGGUCCUCAGGCCGGAUCAGGCCCAUAAGUGGGUUCUGUGAGUUUCCACAGUGUUCAAUUUUUUUUAAAUAGUUGCCGACAUUGAAAAUCAAGAAAUCUUAUACGAAACUCUUUAUUUCUGACUUCUGAAAUAAUCAGAAGACGCGUCUGUGCCAAGCUCACCCUCCUGCAGGUGGAGCUGCCUGGGCCACAGGGCAGCCCCCCGGUCGGUGCAGGGUUGUCGGUCUCCACUUGCCACAGCCUCUGCCCUCCCAGAUGGCCCUGACACGAGAGCGUGUGUUGCCCUUUAUCACUGUGCUUGUCCGGCUGGUUUUAAUUUUUAACUGUAUGGUUAAGAGGACAGAGACAGGUUUCUUCUAAAUUUCAUUUUUGGGGGUCACUGGGCAUUGAACUCAGGGCACUUGACCACUGAGCCAAAUCCCCACCUCUGUGUUGUGUUUUAUUUAGAGACAGGGUCUCACCGAGUUGCUCAGUGCCUCCCUUUGCUGAGGCUGGCUUGGAAAUUGCAAUCCUCCAGCCUCAGCCUCCCAAGCCGCUUGGAUGGCGCCCAUCUUCAUGGAAAACUAAAAACAGGACCGGUGGCUCCUGUGUUUGAAGAAAGGCAGGGGAGUGGAGCCCCGCACCCCAGGCAGAGCCGUCCACUGUGUGGCCUCUGAAGUCACCCAGGCUCCUGGCCUCGGAGGUGGCCUCGGCUCUGGGUGGUCCUGCCUUAGAGAACCGGAGGUGGUCCUGCCCUAGGGGGUGCUUCUGUGGCCUCGGCUUCCACUUCCUGUGGCCAUCACUCCCUUUUCUGCAACAUCAGCGGCUACACGGGACGUUCCCGUGUCCCUCUGUCCUACAUCCUGCCCCUGGCUCCGUUGGAAGAUGCCAGGCGCGGACCCAGAGGGGAAGCAGGGCUCCCUGUGUGUGGCCUCGUGGUGCUCUCUGGGGCCUCCUCUGGAUGGCAGGACUGACACUGCUUGGACCCUCCUCUGGUUUGGGAUCCUCAGUUGAAAGUGGUGGAAGCCCACGGACGAGGCCUGCUGGGCUCGUGUUGGUGAAGGGACUGGCCCUCGUCCGGGAUGGGGCUGCCCUGGGCCACAUGCCCCCUCUGACCCAGGCACCGAGGCUCUGGCCAGGUUGGGCGAGGGGCUUGUGCCCAUGGCAGUGGGGUGUGGUUCCUGUAGGACACCCCUGGGCAUGGGGGUCAGAAGAGGGAGCAGGCAGGUGGGAGGGUUUCUCCUCCUCUGUGCAGGGGCCUCCCCCCAGACGGAAGCCUUUGCCUUCUCCUGAGGCUCAGGUCACCUCUGACCUUCAGGGCCUCGCUGGGGUCCCGCCCGUCUGAGGUGUCCUGCUCAGUGUGGACACUUUCCAAGCCACGUGGCUCCCAGGAACCUGGGGGGAAGGUGUUCCUGUGUUGUCUGUUUUAUGGAUGAGGAAACAGUAGGUCAGAGAGCUCCAGCCACCUGCCCAGAGUCACACGGUGCCCUUCUCUCAUGGAGAUUCAGCCAAGGUUUUGUCCUCUCUGAGUCCACACAGCCUGAGCUGAACCCAGGCUCUUGCCCUCUGGUGCUGCCUCUUGGAAGGGUCUCAGUCUCUGUAUGGGGUGGGGAAGAGCAUCCCAAGCACAGGAAGCCGCAGGUGCCAAGGCCCUGAGGCAGGGACAUGUUUCAGGAAGAGCAGGGAGGCAGGAUGGCUGGGACUCAAUGAGCCAGGGGAGAGUGGCAGGAGGUACAGUUGGGGAGGUACUGUGGGGGCUGGCUGCCGUGGAGAACAGCGUGGAGGUGGCAGUGGGGGCAGAGGGAGGAGGUGCUUGUUACCUGGGUGGGAGAGGAGGAUGGCUGGGUCCUCGAGAGUUCUGUGGGGGUCAGAAGCCAGUUAAGUGUCUCUGCCUCGUGUCCCCACGUGACUCACCAGCUGCGUGACCUGGGGUGCAUGGAGCCUCAGUUCCCCAUCUGUGGGGUGGUGGUGAUGCUGGUGCUCCUGUUGUCGGGCUGUGGGGCUGAGCACCGGGGUGAAGGGGAAGUGCCCAGGGUGGGCCCCGUGUGAGCGCUCGGGGUGUGGAGGGAGCCAGGGGCCCACCGUGAGGUGGGCUGGGGGGGCCAGUGUGCCCUCCUCCCCACGCUGCCUCCUCCCCCACAUGGAGGCCAGUGGGCAGGACCCAGGGUGCCCUGCGGCAGGGCUCCUCUCUGGGACAGAGGCGUCUUUGUUGAGCCUGGGUGUGAAAUGUGUUUAGGAGUGGGGGUGGGCAGGUGGGCAUUGGCUCAGGAGGCCAGAGGGAGGCCGGGAGGGAGGCCGGGAGGUGCCCGGUGCUGCCCAGGACCUGGGGGUGGACAGCUGCACCCCAGCCCUCUGUCCUCAUUGGACCCAGCCUCCUCGUGACUUGGUGGCAUUUUGUGGCCAGGGGACUGUGCAGGGCUGCAGUGCUGCUGGGAAGCCACAUGGGCCAGCGUCACCUUCCGUGGCCUGCCACUCACAGGGGCGAGAGCCGGCUGCUGGGGAAUGGCAGCGGGGCGUGGCGACUGCUGUCUGGGGAAAAAUAGUUUGGUAACGUCUUCUUCAGAAAUCAAAACCACAGACCUGUGAUUCAGUUCCUCGGGGGCUCUCCCAUAGAGACAGGGAAAAGUACAUGAAGACCUAUUGUGAAGGUGUUUAGCUGCACGCAGUGGGGCACACCUGUGAUCCAGAGACCCAGGAGGCCGAGGCAGGAGGAUGGCUGGUUCAAGGCCAGCUUCAGCAACUUAGCAAGACCUUCUCUCAAAAUAAAGAUGAAAAGGGCUGGGGGUGUAGCUCCGUGGUCAAGUGCUCCUGGGUGUAUCCCCAGCCCCACCAACUGAAAAACGAUGUUUAUUCCAGUUCUGUUUUUAACAAUGAGAACCAGCCAGCCAACCUGUGGAAGCCAUGGUAAUAGUCAUUAGCAGAGAAGUGUUCGGAUUGUUGUCCGUCCACUGGUUGGGCUAUCAGGCAGGGUUGAGGAAUGCGCUUGACCUCUCUGGGUGGACAGGAGGGGCCCUGCAUGCUGGUCUGUUGAAGAAUGAGGGCUAAGGGCAGUUGAAUAUGGAGUCUGAUCCUAAUUUUUAGAAGAAAAUAACACACAUACACACACACAAAAGGCUAUCUUGGUGGGUCAGGUUUCGGUCACUGUGACAAGAUAGCCGGGAAAGUCAACCUCAAGGAAGAAAGAUUUAUUUUGGUUCCUGGUUGCUAUGGUUUGAGUCCAUGGUUGGCCCAGGUCGUGGACCUGUGGGGCAGCAGGCGCCUGAUCACUGGUGGCCAGGAAGCUCCAGGAGAAAGAGGAGGAGCUGGGCUGCCCAUGUCCCCUGCCAGGCCAUGCCCCCAGGGAGCUGGCUUCCUCCCUAGGCCCCGCCUCCUGAGGGUUCCCCCUCCUGAUGGUCCAAGACUGGGAUCCAGCCUUCAGCACAGGAGCCUUUGGGGCCAUUCAAGGUCCAAACCCUGGCAGCGUGCAGGAGUGUGGCGGGGACUAUAGGAUCCGCUCGGGGUCCAGUGCUGGUGGCCUCAGGCCGAGGUGGGGGGUGUGGAGUCCUUUUUUGCAUCACUAUGUUAAUCAUAAUCAGCUCAAUAUUUUUCAGAUUACUCUGGACUAGAGUGAAGGGGGACGGGUACUGCCCUUCUCCCUAGGCAGUGCCCACGUUUGGGGGCUGCUGGGUCUGGCACAUCGUGGAGGGGCACUCCCGUGCUGGGGCUGGCACUGGACACCAGCAGGGCCCUGGGCCUCUGAGCUGUCUGUCCCAUGGGUCAGUGGCCUAGAGAAUCCCACUGCCCCCUGGUGUGGCCGGUCAGUCAGCCCUGGCCCCUGGUCCCUGCCGCCCUCUCCUUGGUGUCUCUCAGUGCCAGCACUUGUCCUGGCCAUGGCUGCUCUGCCCCAGGACAGCCGUGCUGGUCGGGAGAGCACUGUCCCUCUGCCAGCCCUCUCCCGUCACCAGUGUGGCUGCGCUCUGUUGCCGCCCACCGAGGGCUUCCCCUGAGUGGGUUCCUGUGUGCUGUCCCCUUAUCUGGUGUGUCCUCAGCGUCUGUGUGCCUCCCUCCCUCCCGUCCUCAUGCCACAUCCGCCUGGUGCGUGGUUAGGGUCCACCCUGGCCUGGGCCUCCCUGCUGCUGACCCCUAGGCUGGCACAGGUGGGUGCCUAGUAAGUGCCUGCUGCCCCUCGUCGGGGGCCAUCCCAGCCUGAAGGCCUGAGGCGUGCGAGGCCCUGGCCCCUGACCCCAGCCCUGCUCUGCCCAGGGCUGGCGGCCACCUGGGAGGAGCCGUUCAGCACCCAGCUCGCCGCGUCCUCAGGGAGCGGGGAUUUCGGCAGUAACUGUGCCACCCUGCUCGGGUCAUUGCACGUCUGAGAUGAGCCACGGUGCACAGGGGUGCUUAAUAAGUGCUUAAUUAUUUUAUUAACAAAAUAAACCAAGUCUGGAGUUUAGAACAAACGGAGAACGUGUCCUUUUAGAGACCCUUUAGAGCGCCAGGUCGUGCCCAUGUCCACUGGCCCUCGGGAACCAGGGUGGGGCGGCUGGGCAGCGCCUCAGAGUCCACAGUGGACAAGCUCUUUGCCCUCCGGAGCCACAUGGAUGUCCUGGUGAGCAUAGGGCAGGGGUUCUCAAACCAGGGCAGCUGUGCCCGCCCAGAGACGCACGGCCACGUCUGGGGACGGUUUUGGUUAUUGACAGGGAGAAGGUGCCCUGGGCACCUUUGGGUGGGGCCACGGAUGUAACCUGACCUCACAGAGGGCAUCUGGCCCCAGAAGUCAGCAGCGCUGAGCAAGAGAGACCUGCGUCUGGUCACCCAGGCUCGUAGCGAGCUCCGCACGGAGAGGGCCGGCCAGGCGGGGGGGACCUGGUGGGGCCGGGUCGUCCAGGGCCGCUCUGUCGGGUGGGCUGGGAGUUGAACCCAGGUCUCGGCCCACUGUGCCCUCUGGAGCAGGUGCCACCAGGUUCCAAAGGGGAGGGCAGGGGGGCCGCCUGACUGCCUGCCGGCACAUGGCCCCUGCCGGUCACCAGGACGCCACGGCCAGCACGCCUUCUCCGCCCUCUGUCCGAGCGCCGGGGCCUUGGCAGCCUGGGGCACGGGCGGCAGGGGGUCCCCACUUGUGCUGGUGACGGGCUGCCCCGGCACAGAGCCUGUGGCGUCUGAUGCCCUGCCUGGUUCUGCCCCUCGGCCGGCUCAGCCUCAGUGUCACCUUGUGUCACCUUGCGUCACACCUUUGUCUGAGCCUCAGGUUCUCACCUGGGCAGCAGAUGGGGUGGGUGCAGGCCCUGCCCUCCUGCCUUCCCCACAGGGACUGUCCUCAGCAGGCUGUCCCUGUCCCCCAGGCCGGUGUCGGCUGCUCCUCAGCUCCCCAGCGCGGGAGAGGCAGGCUGGUGGCCCGGGGCCAGCGUCCUUCGUCACUCGUCAAGCUGUGGUGGGGUUCACCUGUUCUGUCACUGUCAGUGCCGUCCCUGGGCCGACCUCUGUCCUGACCUUUAGGUGUCUGUCUCUAGCUGGCGACAGGACCUCACGCCCUGGGUGUCCCAGGGCCCCCCUCUGUCUCCUUCCCUUACCUCCCGCGGCCGCCCAGCUGCAUUCUGAAGCCACUUCCAGCCACCCUUCGCGUCCCGCCGCAGCCUGCCAGGGGAUCCCGCUGCAGCCUUUACAAGUGGCCAGAGUCUGGCCGCUCCCCGCCCCACCCCGGCUCUCCACCUCCGCGACAAUGGUCUCCGCCACCAUUGCCUCCCACAGGGACUGCUGCGGUCCCAGGUCCCCGUCUCCACCCUGGUAGUCAGCGCGAUCCUUGCUGCUCGGGGCCCCUGGUCCCCCUCACAGUCACUGCCGAGGUCCUGAUGGGCCCUGGGAGCCCCCGUACUGACUCUCCCACUCCCCACGGCCUCCGAGCCCACCUCCAGAUGGGCCCUGCCCCAGGGCCCUGGCCAUCUUGCUGCUCUGGACACUCGCAGGUGUCCAGGCCCUCACGGCCUCUCGGGUCCUGCAGACGCCUGGUUCUCUCCGCGUGACCCCUCCAGGGCCCGCCUCUCCACCGCCUUCAGUGCCCUCCUCUCGGCAGAGCUGGGGCCGGGACGACGGGGUCUCCUCCGUCUCUUCUGUUCCCUGCUGUGUCCCCACACCCAGAGCAGCACCUGGUGCGGGUGAGUGUGUCCUUGGCACUGUUCCUGAGAUUGUGUUGAUGGAUGGAACAAUGGUGAGCGUCCUCAAAGAGCGGCGACACUAGGGACAGGUGCGGGACUGUGUGUCUGUGUCACACACAUAGAAACCCCACCUCGAAAAGGCUGAUGUGCCAGCGCAGUGGGCACGCUGUGAUCCCAGGGCUCGGGAGGCUGAGGCAGGAGGAUGGCAAGUUCAAAGCCAGCCUCAGCAACAUCGAGGCGCUAAGCAGCUCAGUGAGGC